AUCUCAUAAUCUUCCGGAAAAAGGGCACACAACAAGAAACAUUGCUUGAUAUUAUCUUGAUCCAAAUAAUCAUAACUAAGCUCAAGGCAUGUAUAAAUACCUCCACAAACAUGUUGAUUAUCCAAAUGCCUUGAGCUCUUGAGUCGUUUAUUUGCUGCUAUCCACGCAUCUAGACUUUCACCUUUUAGAGCCUUUGCCACAGUUACAAUUGCAAGAGGCAAACAGCCACAUUCAGGAGCAACCUCCUUCGCUACAUUCAAGGUGGGAGAGUCAUCUUUCAGACCAGCUUUGUCUUUGAAUAAAACCCAUGCUUCAUGUUCAGAUAAAAUGUUCAGCUUAAAUUCCUCUUCACAAUCCAUUUUACAACAAACUUGUUGAUCACGUGUAGUUAAAAGAAUUUUGCAACCCUCGUGUUCACCACCGAAUGGAAUUCCUAUAAUUUGCAAUUCAAGUUCUUUCCAAACAUCAUCGAGAAUUAUGAGAAUCUUCUUCUCACUUUUUAAUCUCCGCCAUAACUCUUCUGCUUUUCCUUUUUCUGUACUUGCUUUAAAGUUAAAAUGUAAGAUUUCGGCAAUUCUGUCUUGAAUUUUGUUGAAGUUCGGAGUUUGGGACACUGUAACAAUCACAACUUUAUCAAAGAGCUUUUGUUCCGUAGCUUGCUUCCCCACUACUUCCGCCAAAGUUGUUUUACCCACUCCUGGCAUUCCAUGCAAUCCAAUCAUGUUCACACCAUCACUUUUUAAAGCCUCCAUAAUCCCACUGAAAGCUAACAUUGAAGAUUCGGAACGCAUGAAAUCCUUGGGUACUAUGAACUCUAUUCCUUGAAGAGGAGGACGCUGGCCGACUCGUGAAAAGUUACAAGUCUCUAAAAGCUUAGAGAUAUCAAGUGUCUUCUUCUCUACUUCCUUACUUAAAGAGGAUCUCCAGCUCAUACCAGACAGCCAUUUGGAACGCUUGUUACUUUCUAUUUUAUCUGACAAAUUCUGCACAUCUUUCAGUUCUUGUCUUGCCUUCGUUAGCCAUUCCUCAACGUCAUGAUUAAUUACCUCAGUUUGCCUUUCGGCUUCAUUCACGUCAUUCUGUACCUUAUCGAUUGCAAGUAUAAGUUGUUCCCUCUUUGCAUUGAAAUCUUCAAUAAUUUCAUCAAAACCGAAAAUAGGUUUUCCCAAUUUCCCUGCCAAUUUUUUCAGAGCAUUUGUAGUGAUAUUGGCAGCGACAUUGGAAAACACAGAGGUUGCAAAUUCAGCAGGACUGGUUUCCUUAGUAUCCAUUCACUGAUUAUCUGAGGUUGAAGAACAGGUUUGUUUGAGCAAAAGUAGUAACAGAGAGACAAAAGAAAUUAUUAAAAAUUUCAUUUUGUAAUAUAUAAAAGUAAAAAAAAAAUCAAAAAAAGAAAGAAAAUUGCAAAAAUCAACUUCUACAAAGCUAUAUUGGAAGCUAUGUUCUUUAGUUAUUAAAUAUUAAUGCAUUACAAAAUUGACUAAUAAUGACAAAAUUUCAUAGUUGAAAAUUUGCAGUGGAUUUGGUUGACUAAUAACUACUACUAAUUAUUAAGAAACUGUUUCCCCUAAACCCAAGAGAUCAGCUCACAGAAAAAUAAAAUAAAAUGCAAAUAUCUGUCAAGCUAAGAUGAAAAGAAUAGCUUAAUUUGAAAAUAGAAAAUAUCAGCCAAAGCAUCUGAACUCGAAAAUAUAUACUCAACUGUAAAACCAAGAAGAGGAUGAAGAUUUACAUACCAAGGAAAUAUAUGUGAACUUUGAGGAGCCAAGACAGAGCUUCAUAUAUUUCAGACACUAACAAAGUCGGUGAAGGUUUUUUUUUUCUUUUUUUUUUUGACAAAUAAAUUAUUUAUACUCAUAAGGACAUAUUUACGAAAUAAUAGUGACUAAAUUUCAUAGUUGAAAUUUGUCAGUGGAUUUGCUUAACUACUAGUAGGAAUCAGUUUUCUUGUGGAUUCCAAAUAGUAAAGUACCGAAAAAUCAAAUAUCUACUCAAAUGUAAAAUCAAGACAACUAAACCGCCAAAGAGACAGAUGAAAAUUUACAUACCAAGGAAAUCUAUAGAUGAACUCAGGGGAGCCAAGACGGGCUUCUGUUUUGAUCCAGGCAAUCUCACAAGGUCGUUGAAGUUUUUUUCUUUGUUUUUUUAUUUUUUUUUGUGUUCAAAGAAAACUGAAGUUGAAAUAAACUUUGCACUGCAAUGAUGAGAAGGCCAAGGAAUUAAUAAAUAACAGACUUACACUUGUCUUCUUUUUAAUGCGUAUAGAUAAUUCUGCUUCUGGAAGGUACUGAAAUCCUUUCUUGAAACUUACCACUCUGUUCUCACUACUUGAAUGUGAAAGGGUAAGAGACAAAUACAAGUUUCUAGCUCUCUGCUUCACACAAAUGCCAUGAGUGGAUUGUAACUGUAGACGAUCAAAACUGUUAAUUUGGCCACACAAAAUAAUUCAGUGCCAAUUUUGCAUGUAAAGAUUGCAGAUGUAUUCUCAAAUGCAUAAACCAUAGAAGAAAAUGAUGCACAUAUAUACCAAGGAAACAUGAAGUUUGAGGACCCAAGGCCAAGCUUUUCUCUAUUGAUCAAAGAAAACUCAAGUAGAAAUCAAGUUUGCACUAUAAUAACCAAAAGCCCACUAGCAGAGGGAAUUAAUAAACAACAAAUAUCUGUCAAUCUAAGAUCAAAAGAACAACUUAAUUUGAAAAUAGAAAACAUGUGUCAAAGCAUCUAAACUUGCAAAUAUCUAUACUCAAAUGUAAAACCACAGAAGAAGAGGAUGAACAUUUACAUACCAAAGGAGUAAUACAUGAACUUUAAGGGGCCAUGACAGAGCUUCUAUUUUGAUCCAGCCAAAAUAUAUUACAGAAACUGACAAAGUCGGUGAAGGGUUUUUUUUUUCUUUUUUUGAGUUCAAAGAAAACUGAAGUUGAUAUAAUAAACUUUGCACUGCAAUGAUCGGAAGGCCAGGAAAUUAAAACAACAAAAAGACUUUCACUUAUAAUUCUGUUUCUGAUAACAAAAACAGUAGUUGAACAUAGAAAGUAGAAACUCUUAAGGCAAAGACUUGUUUUCUUUGGAGUCGUGGAGAUACUCUGCUGGUUGGCUUUCCAGGAAGUGUUAUUGGAACAGACCACCUUCAACUUGCAUAUUGAUGUUAUUGGAACAAAGUGGAAACUUUAAAAAACGGGUGAGCAUUAUGGUAAGUCUAACCUUAUUGUAUGGUCAAUAAAUAUAAUUAAAAAAAAUAAUAAAAAUUUGUUUGAUAGUUUAACAAGUAAACUAUAUACUUAAUUUUUAAGCAUAUCCAUUUUAUUUUAUGUUAAUAACAUAGAUCAUUUUUAAAUUUAUUUAUUUUUUAAAUAUCAUUUAAUUUUAAUUUUAUUUUUAUCUUAAAAUAUAUGAAUAUUUUUAUUUUUAAUAAUAACAUUAUUUCUAAAUAAUUUAAUUCAAUCAAAAUUUUUUUUUUUCUCAAUUAAGCUUGUUAUCAUGGUAGGUUACGUUAAAUCUUACAUAGUUACAUCAAUAUUUAAACAAUUUUUGUUCCACUUUUAUGAUUUUUUAUGUUAAUUCUUAUAUAUUUGCGUUAAGAUUUUUUAAUUGUUAAUUUUUACUAUAAUUAUUUUUAUCCUUAUUAUUAUUCAUUUAUAAAUUAAAAUUUAAAUAUUUAAUUUUUAUAAAUAUUAUAUUUAUUUUAACUUAAUUGAUUUAUUUUGUUAAAUUUUAUAUAUUUAUAUUAAUAUUUUAAUAACAAUUAUUCCACUUGCAUAAUUUUUUACUUUAAUUUUUAUAGAUUUACGUCAUACCUUUUCCUUUUUUUUUUAAUUGAACAUAUUGUCUCCUAUGAUUUCAAUAUAUUGAAUCUGUAUAAAUCACUAGUUGCAAACAAAAAAAAAAAAAGAUCUCCAAGCUUUCUUUUUUCUUUUUUCCUUUUCCUAAAUUUGGAACAAUAGAGAGUCGACUCCUAAUUCUUUGAACAACAGCUACAUAGAUCAAUUACUGAGUGUCUAAGUCAAAUGCUUGGGUGCAUCCACAAACUUCUGUUGAAUUACUUUAAUAAAACUUAAGUUAAUUUCUCUAAAAAUUUACCAUGAUUCAAACGUAAGUUCACACCUUCUAUUUAUAUUAAUUUCUUUAAUAUAACCUUUUAUUACGUAAGUUCAGACUUUCACUUAUCUUCUUUGGAAUGCAUGCAGAUUAUAAUUCUGCUUCUGAUAACAAAAACUGUAAUUGAAUAUAGAAAGUAGAAACUCUAAGGCAAAUUAAGACUUCUUUUCUUUUGAAUCUCUUUUUCUUUUUAUUGUUACUAAUUUUUCUUAUUCAUAUCCUUAGUGAAUGACAAGGGCCCCAACAUCUUAUGCCUUAUCAUUGACCAAUUCUCUCACAAAAAGACUGGAAAAAAAAAAGUAAAGAAUGGAGUCAUGAAAACUCUCUGCUAAGGACACUGGUUUUUUUUUUUCUUAUAAUUGGGGAGGGGGGAUUCGAACUUUACUUUUUAAGUAGGGAGAUUACACACCAACUAAUAAAUCAAAUGUUCGGGUGCAGCUGAGGACCUUGGUUACCUUCCAGGAAGUUUUAUGAAAACUAGAGGAUGGGCUUGCGAGGAUGUCAAUGUAUAGAAAAUUUUUGAAAUUCUGCUUCAAAUUCAUUGAAUGAAUAUAUUAAAAUGAAAAGCCAUAAACUUAUAUGUAUUAUAUGUGUGAAACUGAUGGCUUUUCCGUCACAUUUAACAAUAAAUUGAAGUGGAUCAAACCUUAAGCAGCUGAUUUUUGAAAAAGCAUUUGGUUAAUUCUCACUCAAAGACAAAAUAUUGAUGAAAGUCUAAUUAAUGCAAAAUUGACUUCAUCAGAAAAUCAUGCCUCCUCGUGGUUAAUUAAUGUAUCUGUCUGAUUAUUUCAUUGGGAGGGUAAAAUAAAAUGAAUGCCUCUUCUCCCGUCCUUCUCCUCUUCCCUAAAGAACAUGUGACAGUGGGUCCGCACUUUGAAUAUUGUGUGUAAUAGGGAAGAAAGAGGUUUGGUCAGUCGUCACCUAAUUCAUUAUCUCUGCUCUAAAGUUAACAAAGAAAUAUUAAUUUGGAAUUAGGACUCUUCUUAGCUCUUGCUUUCGAAAGAAUUAAGUCUAACACGAAAAUCUUAUUUAUCAAAGUAAAAGGGAGAUUCUUGGAAUUUUCCCAGAUAUUUUUGAUUCAUGGUGGAAUAUUUACGCCACAAAAUUUUUGAUUCUUGGAAUUUACUUUUAUUCUAAGGAUAAUUAAGUUCAUACCUUUCAUUUUUUCUUUGUGUAUAUAUGCAAAUGAGACACAAAAUUAUUGGUGGAAUUUUGAAUUAUUGAUGCCUUUCUUUUUGUCGUUUUUCAUUUAUUUUUCAGUAUUAAUAUCUGAUCUACUUGGUUAGUUUACAUGAAAAACACUUGACUCUCCUUUUAAAUAGAAACUACUAUUAUUAUCUCGUAAGUGUCUUUAAGAGUUAUCACUUUACCCUAAUUUAUAUUUCUGUAGCAAUUAAGCAUUACUUGGUAAAUUAUCUUCUAGAAAUGGGUAACGACCUACAUUUAGAAGCAUUUUGUGAACUUUUGCGGUGCUAAAUCAUCAUGGACAAAUUUUAGUGAACAAAAGAUUCUUCCCGCAGCAGCUUUCUAAUAAAUUCUUAUACAUGAUGUAAUCAUGAGUGUUGUUUCUUGAGCCGGAAAUGACUUUAUUUAUAGGGAUGAAUAGAAUAUAACAUAUCCAACUUUGAUAUUCAAAUAAUAGAACAAAGUCAAGACAAGAUAAGUGUUUUGCUUAAGAAAAAGAAGAAUAAAGGAAAGGAAGACAGAUAGGCCAAUUUGGAUUUAGUUGACUUAUAGUUACGAUGACUUGCACUCAAUCCUAUAGAUGGGCCAAAGAAAUUGAAUUACUUCAAUGAAGCAUAGAUUUCCCCUAAAUAAAAUUUACUUUUAUUCUAAGGAUAAUUAAGUUCAGACCUUUCAUUUUUUCUUUGUGUAUAUACGCAAAUGAGACACGAAAUCAUUGGUGGAAUUUGAAUUAUUGAUGCCUUUCUUUUUGUCAUUUUUAAUUUUUUUUUCAGCAUUAGUUUCUGACCUACUUGAUUGGUUUACACAGAAAACACUUGACUUUCCUUUUAAAUAGAAACUACUAUUAUUAUCUUGUAAAUGUCCUUAAGAGUUAUCACUUUUCCCCUGUUUAUAUUUCUUUAGCAAUUAAGCAUUACUUGGUAAAUUUUCUUCUAGAAAUGAGUAAGGACCUACAUUUAGAUGCAUUUUGUGAACUUGUUGUGGGGCUAAAUCAUCGUGGACAAAUUUUAGUGAACGAAAGAUUCUUCCUGCAGCAGCUUUCUAACAUAUUCUUAUACACGGUGUAAUGAUGAGUGUUGUUUCAUGGGCUGGUAAUCGCUUUAUUUAUGGGAAUGGAUAGAAAAAGAUAUGCGUUUUGCUUAAGAAAAAGAAGAAUAAAGGAAAGGCAGACAGAUAGGCCAAUUUGAAUUUGGUUGACUUAUAGUUAUGAUGACUUAUACUCGAUCCGAUAGAUGGGCCAAAGAAAAAAAGGGAGAAAAGGAUGGAGUUCAUGGAAAUGCUCUCGUAAGGACCCUGGUUGGCUUUCCAGGAAGUGUUAUGGCAAGAGGAUGGGACUUGCGAGGAUGUAAAUGUAUAGGAAAUUUUCCAACUGACCACAAUUGUUGAAAGUCUGCUUCAAAUCUCUGAGUGUUCUUUUUCUUUUUUUGUGCUCCUACGAAUUUAGAAGAAAAUCGAUACAUUAUUAUGAAGACUUCCUUGUUUAAUGUAGUCAUCAGUUUCACAAUUAGUUCAAUCUUUUUUACUGAAGCAUAUUUAUAGUAUAUUGUCCUUGUUUAAUAUACUUGUAUAAGGAUUAGUAUAAUUUAUGAAGGGAGCCUUGUGAUGAAUGGUGGUAGUUUAUCUGACCGCCUUCUGAUGCAUCUUUCUUUAUCAUGAAGGGAGCCUUCACAACCAAAUAAAGUGGGACAAAAAGAACAAGCAUUAUUAAUUUUAUGUUAACAAGUAGUAUAGCAUAUAACAAAUAAACAAAAAUCAGUGAUAGUACAGAGCACUGUUAUUUCUCUUCGUCCCCAAAUAGUUUCUCUAGUUCAGAAGCAACUUCUGCUGUGAUUAUUUAUAGUUUUGGCAGAGCAACACUAACUGGAAAGAGACUUUUCAGUUUAUUGCAGCCUCCAAUUCUGGUUUUAUUCAGUGCACAUAAACAUAGAGGUUGGAAUGAAUCCUUUGAUGAUGAUGAUCCAAUUCCAAGUGCAUGUAGAAAUGAUCCAAUCCCAUUUUAUAGUUCUUUUUACUAGAAUUUUCUUUUGAUAUAGAGUAAUCACUUAAUUUUUUAAAAUUCUUUUGGUGAACUUGUUGCAUGGCUAUACUACCAUGCCUAGAUCUUGUAGGUAGGAGUAGCAAUCAAACUUUUCAGUAUUUCAAUAAAUCACUCGAAAACUUCUCAAAAUAAAAAUCUGCCUGGUUUUAAUUUUUCAUGUCUUAAUUCCUACCUAACAUAUUUACACAACUUAUUCACCAAAAAUUUAAAAUACAAAAAAUAAGGAUAAGAAACAGAGAAAUUUCACUCUUGUUUUUCUACUUAUUGCACAUAUAGAGAGCAACAUAACAUUGAUUGGGUAAAUUAUUGAAUUCGAUUGAAAACUCCAUUAAGCAAACAUCUUUAACAGGUCAAAAAUUAUUUUUAAAAUUUUUGAUUUUGUAUAAUAUUUUAAAAAAUAAUGAUCAAAAUUGAGUUUAUUUUUAAUGAAAAAUAUCCAAUAGAUACAAACAAAAUGGGAUGGAGAUAGCAUGUAUUUGUAAUAAUAUUCGGUUCCGUUGAUGAAUAUUUUUGCUUUCUUUUCUUUUCUCUUUUUUGCAAAAAAAGAAUAGAAAGGAAAAGGAAAAAUAAAAAAAUAAAUAGCAAAAAAGAAGAGAUAAAAGUAUCAAACUGGUACGGAAUUUUAAAAAAUAGUCAUGUAAUAUGGAUAAUUAUGGAAAUAAAAUGUAUGCUAUGGUAAGAAAAGGAAAUUAAAUUGAACUUACUAAUUCUCUUGCUUUUGAGCCUUUUUUGUCUUUUGAUAGGGUUAGCUUUUUAGUCUCAUGGUUUAUGAUGCUACCAAUUUUUUUGAGUAGCAGAUCCGAUUUGGAAAUUGUACAGGAUCUCUUCACCCUCACCAGCAGUUUAUAUUAUGAGAGUCUUUUGCAAAUUAACUUGAGACUUGAAAUGACAUGUCAGGUGUUAAGAUAAAUAAAAUCCACUUUUCAAAAAAAAAAAAUCUAAUUCUAAGUGCAUGUAGAAAUGGUCCAAUCUCUUUUUAAAAUUCUUAUUGUAAGCAUUACUUGGUAAAAUUUUUUUCUAUCAAUGAGUAUUUACUUUAUUUUAAAUGCUUUUUAUGAACCUAUUGCCUGGCUAUACUACCAUGGUCAGAUCUUAUAAGUUGGAGUAACCAUCAAACUCUCAAUAUUUCAAUAAAUCACUUGAAACUUUUAUAAAAUAAAAAUCUACCUGCCUUGUAUAGGGAAAUUAAAGUUUAAUUUUCCAUGUCUUGAUUGCUGCAUAACAUAUUUGCAUAACCCUAAAUACAAAAAUAAAGAUAAGAAACAGAAGAAUUUCAAACUUGUUCUUCUGCUUAUUAUACAUAUAAAGAGUAACAUAACAUUGAUUGGGUAAAUUAAUGAAAGCAAGUGAUCCCUUCGCUUGACAACUCUAUGAAACCAACAUCCUGACCGACGAAAAGCACAAUAAUUUCAAGUAACUGUUUUUCUCUUCUUUUUUAUGUAAAUAAUAAAAGUUAGCACAAGUAAAUCACCAAAACUUGAUUAAGACUAGGCAAAUAGGUGAAAAAAAUGAAAAUGGAAAGCAACCUUUGCUUUACCAGUGUUUACUCAUUGAUGUUUAAAAAUACCUUUGCAACUUCCCCUGCAAUCAUCUCACCAUUCUUCCAUGUAAGGUGGCAGCUGAUAAUUAAUCCAACUUUCUCGGUACCAUUCUACGGUCUUGGUGUGGACUACAUUUUGAGCAGCGGCGGACCCUUCAGUGACGUCUUGCUUAACUAGUAGCGAUGCCUUUUUAAACAAUUGAAAAAGUGAAAUAUAAAAUAAAAGUAUUACUGCAGAAGGUAGGAAGGAACCAAAGUCAGCGUACCAGUUGGAACCCCAACCUGCCCCAGCGAAGCUUACGCCAGGUGGUUUGCCGACAGGGGUUACCAGCCCACCAUCACGGGGUACUCAGAGUGAAUCGUCAGGUGGACCGGGUUGCCCACUUAAUCAGAGCACAGGAGCCUGCAAAAACAAUAACCCACAAGGCAUGUCAAACUUGCCAUGGAAGUAAAACCUGCUUACAUUUUGUAGUCUUCAGCUAAUUGCGUGGUAGGCACGGGCUCUUGUGUUGUGUUAGUAUUCAUCAUAAGCAGGCAGGCUUCAGUUUGUAAUUUAAGCAUUGUGUAAGUGAAGUAGAAUUAUGCGUUAUCUUGUACUUUGUGACCCCGUUGCUAGAUAGCUAGAAAGGGCUACUUGGGCAGACGGCUGAGGGGAUGCUCUUUGCACUUGUAAGGUGAUGUUAGAAGUUUGAGAAAAGGGCCAUGCUCUUUGGUGUUUUAGACUGAGAUGGUGAGUUAGUUUGACUUCCUUGUCUUUGUUGUAGUUGCUUCUUUUGUUGCCCAUCAGAGUUAACUAGUGUAAUUUAUCUGUUUCUCCAUUCAUCAUUAUCAAGUUGAUAUUGAUGCUAGUUGAGCUCAGCUGGGUGUUUACUUAUAUGCGGACGAUGGGUGACGAUGCUUUCAAUGUUGAAUGCUAAUUUGCCACUAUUGAUCUCUCCACUCAGCUUUCGUAUGCAUUUCUGUAAGAGACAUCAUUAUUCCUAUAUCUGAUUGCCAUCCAACAUAAAAAAAAAAAAAAUCUCAUGUUAUGAGGGCAAAAGAAAAAAAUAUACAUAUUAUGAUUUAUAAGCAUUUUAAGCCAAAAUUCAUUCAAGUUGGAUUUAGAAAAUUUUUUUCUUUUAUUAAUUUUCGAUGAUUUAGAAAAGAGAGGUUUAGUAAUUUUCAAUAUUUGUGAAUUUUGGAAAGAUAAUGUUAAAAAAAUCAUUAGUAAAAUUAUGUUGCAAUUAGCUUUUACAUUUGUUUAAGAUAAUAAAUGCAUGCUGCCAAUAUAAAUGUUUUGUUAGGAAGUAACAGAAAAAAAUUAAGAAAAUACUUUGUGCUUUCCAUCAAUUUGUCAGCCUUGUCCAUCAAGUCCAAAACGGAAGCAAUGAGGGUGCGCAACUAGAGAACGGGGAAUGGACAGUGUGGGUUUCAAGAAGAGUUGUGUUCAUUGAAAUGAUAGAAAUUUUUGUAAGCGUAAGUAAAAUGAUAUAAGUGAAAACUUAAGCUCUCCAAGGUACAAUCGGCAUACCUUAUAAGACAUUGGAGGCUUGCAACUUGGAUGGGACUACUCAUAAAUCCCAAAGAAAGUACACAUAGCAGUCUAUGCAUCUAAUUACUCAUAAAUCAAAGGGAUUACUUUAAUAUUCGUUUGAUUUGGUUACAAAGGUCAAUUAACUUAUGACUUGACACGUAAAAAGUCGAAAGCUAACUUUUUCUAUUUUCAAAAAUUUAGAUUAGUUCAUAUCUUUUUAUUAUAUCUAAUUAAAUCUCUGAAUUGUUAUUUUUCACUAUAUAUUAAAAUAAUUUUAGAUGAAAUUCAUGGAUGACUAUUAAUCCCUUAACAUUUAUAAGGCAUGUGAAAAAUAUGAUGUCAUAAUAAAAUACUGGUUAUAUUUACUAAUUAGAUCAGUAAACUAUAUUUAUUUUACCAUGUCAUGUGUCCAUCAUUGCCGCAUCAUAUUUUCCACUUGUCCUACAAAUGCCAACAUUGUCACAUAAUAUUUCUCAUGUAUCCUAUAAAUGCCAACAUGACAAGGGAUUAAUGCGUCCAUGGAUUCUAUAUAUCCAAAUAAGGGAGAGUGUUUGGAUAGUGAAAUAUUAUAUUUUAGAGCUUAAUUAAACAGCUUUAAAAGUCUCUUGCGACAUAUAAUGUGAAACAUCCGCGGCCAAAUCCCCAACAAAGAUUGUGUAAUCAAGACCCUCAUCUUGCCUCUUUUCCCCGUAUCCAAGUGCCGCCCAAUUCAAUCUAAAAUUCUAUAAACAGAGGGAAGAGAAUCCAUAAUAAAUAAUAAAUAAUUUACAACCGUCAGAGCUAUAAUUUCUUACUCUAUCUCUUCAAAGUAAGAAAGUAACUCGAACAUCCUCAAAAAUUGUAUGAAAUUCCAACUACGUGAUGUCAAAGUUAUCAGUUUUAUAUCUCCUAUUUGACAUUUGCAUUGUAAUUUUGAAAGAAGUAUUAAAUAAAUGUAUAUAUCCAUUAGAUUUGUGUCAUUUUUUUUUAUGUUAAACUUGUAAUUUUUACAUCCAAAUGUUGAUAUCGUUUUUCCAAAAGUUACAUUUUUCUUAUUUAAAAGCCAUAAAUAAACAUAUAUAUAUAUAUAUCCAUUAGAUUUGUGCUAUUUUUUUCAUAUUAAACUUGUGAUUUUAACAUUCAAAUAUUGAUAUUGCUUUUUCAAAAAUUAUAUUUCUCUUGCUUAAAAGCCAUAAAAGCAUAUUGAGUUCGGCUAAGUUAAGGCCUAUACAUAUCAAGAAGAAGUGGGCUUUACCCCUGUAACAUGGCUAAUUUGAUGGAAAAAAAAAAAAAAGCUCAUUUUCAGAGCUACUAGUAAGUCCAAAUUUUUGUUUAAAAAAAAUCAUCCAUACGGUUGUAAAAUUAUAUCUUAAUUUCACCAUUUUACCAUAUUUGUAACAAUUUUGUAAUGUCAUGUCAAUAUUUAUUAUAAUUUAUUAAUAUAUCAUAUUGAUGUUAUCUGAUUUAAAAUAAUAAAUAAUAUUUCAAUUAUUAAUACUAAAAAUUUAUUUAAAUAUAAAUUAAAAUAAAUAAAAAUUUAUUUAAAAUUGUAAUACUAUAUAUGUCUAAAAUAUUAAAAAAAUAAACUAAAAUCUUAAAUUUCAAUCUUUUACAAUAAUUUAUCUUAAAACUAAAUUAAUAUAAAUUAUUAUUUUCUAGAGGUUUUUCUUUCUUGCAGAUUUUUUUUUGUUUUGCUGUUGACUUUGAUAAUUAUGAUUAGGAAGACGACAUUAACUUCUUCUUUUUUGUUUUUUUUUAUUAAGUAAUAUUAUUCUGUUUUUAAUAAGAUAUAUAUGAAUCAUUAUUGUUUAUGGAAUUAAUGAAAAAGAAAUUUUUUUGGCCUUCCCACUUUAUGGGUUGUGGGUCCCGCGCCCGUACGAGUGCGUUCAAACAAGCAUCGGCAGGGGCGUCAAAUAACCUGACGGUAUUCGCCCCCACCCCAAAUAAAAAUAAAAAAUAUAAAUAUAAAGUAAAUAAACAGCCCGAGACCCAGAGAAGUUACGGACCCGAAGCCUGAGAGGAGUCGAAAAAGGAAAAAGAAAUUGGUUAGUCUCCGUCGUUCCCUUCCAAACCUUAAAAAGUACAACUUUCCUGGCCUGCUCCGGAACUCUCUCGAACUUUCUCUAAUCUACCUAUUAUACCCUCCCACACUUUAUACUCCUAAGUUCUGUCUAUUAUGGCUGUACCUCUUGCAUUGUGAACAUCUCCAUGCUCGACUACCUUCACCAGCUGAUGGAAUCCUUUUCCUUCUAGGUCUUCCCGCUUGGCUUCACCAAGGUGGGGGCAAGACGAUAAUUUAUUUCACAUGAGGGGGGAUGUCCCACUCACUAGGAUGCCCUACAGGCCUAAUGGAUCAUGAAUAACCCUCCACCAAAACGGUUGUCUUAUAGUAGUCAAUGCAGAAUUCAAUGGCUUCACGAUUGCAUUUACUGAAAAAUACAAUAAACUCAAUCGUCAAGCACAAUGUAAAUGCUAUGUCAAUUACUGUUCAAAUAAGAAAUAAAGAUAUUCUGAUCUUAUUGCUGCAAUGGCAUGGCUGCAUGGCAUUAAAUCUGUUUAGAACUCACAAGAUGAACAUGUCUUCCUAAACAGGUUUAUAAGUCUGUCCAUCUUCCCGUCUUUAACUUCAAACUCCACUCGAUUGAUAGGCUUAACUAGAAAGCGAUGUGCAUCAUUGAACCGUUUGCUCAACUACCUGGCAACCCAAAGGCUGAAGGGCGUGGUCACCUUGACGGCUUCCUCGUACCUGUCAUGGAACCAAUGCUGGAACAUAUCUCUGAUGAACUCGAUCAAAACAGUGAUUGGCAUUUGUCUUGUAUGCUUCAAGCAUGAGUUAACACAUUUCGCAAUGUUGGAUGUCAUCAUUUGGUAUCGCCUUGCCGGUGAACAUGCACGUGCCCAUUUCUCAGGCCCUAUUCUCAUAAGGUCAGCGUGGGCUCCCGAGUGAAUCUGCUGUAGCUGGUUCAUAUGUCUAUUGAAAUCAGCCACUUUAUAGCAAUCUCGAACAAGGGUAAAAAGCAUACAAACAUCGUCGCGCUUGAACUUGUUUUUAAAGUUUUUUUCAAGUGGUAACCACAUAAACCAUGGUGCGCUUCUGGGUAUGCAUUUUGGAUUGCUUUCUUAAUGUCGAGAUGCUGAUAAAAAAUGAACAUAGUGUUUUCAGGACAACCAACCGCAUCACGCAGCUUGCUAAGACACCACGUCCACGAGUCUUCGUCUUUAACAUGGCCGAUGCCAAACGCAACUGGAAAUACGCACUUGUUCGCAUCUUUGCUUACAGCGACAAACAGAACACCCUUGAACUUGCCUUUCAGAUGUGUCGCAUCAAUUGCAACCGUAAGAAGCAUUACAUCCCUAAACCCCCGAAUACAAGCCCCGUAUGACCAGAAACAAUAUUUGAAUCUUUCUUCCUCAUUAGUAGCUACUACAGUCACUGUGCCAGGAUUUUCUUGUUUCAACAUAUAAAAAUAUGAGAGUAGUAGUUGAAAUGACUCCUCCGGUGGACCAAAAACAAGCCUCUCCGCAUACUCCUUCGCUUGCUAAGCCUUACCAUACAAGCAUUCCAAUCCCCACUGAACCCUCAUCUCACAAAUUAUGUCCUUAGGUCUCAAUGCUACUCCAUUAGCUCGAAGCUUGUGUGACAUAAGUUCACCAAUCAUCUUUGCACUCGUAGUUGAAAACCGCCCUUGCAAACCAUCAACGGUACAGGUGUGUACUUUGUGGAAUGUCCGAACUUGCCAAUAUUCUCCUAUAUCAGGUAACUUCGUUGCACGCACACUGAACUUGCAUGCCUUGUCCUUGCAACCAACCUCAUAACGAGCUUUACAUGACAUUUUUACUCUUAUCGCAAACUUCUCUUUUAUAACCAACAUGUUCAAAGCUCGUUUCAACUCAGCCUUUGAUGAAAACAUUUUUCCUUUGUAUAAGCGAUCUUCAGCACAUGUCGACUCCUUAGUGGUAAUUGUUUGGAAGGAGAACCUUUCUGCACCUGCAAUUACCCACGUACAAGAUAUCCCUGUAUUUUCCCUUUCUUGAUCACUGUCAUCGAGCAAUGCAUUAAGGGAACAAAUCCCGUUCUCACCAGUGAUGGGGUUAUUGUAUAUGGGGUCAUCACGCUAAACAUCUAGGACAUCAACACCUCCAACAGGUUCCGUUUUGCCUUCAACAUUAUUACGAAUUGGAAUGUCACUGUCACAAAGGCAGUCAUCGUCUGAAUUGUCAUCUUGCCAUUGUUCAAGCCCAUCAUUUGAAGUGUCAUCAAAUCUAUCUUCACCAGCAGUGAACAAAUCCUCAUUUCCCUCAUCAAAUGCAGUAUUAUCCUCUAGUGUCGUAGUGUCACCCUCCAACCUCACAUUGUUGUCCUUAAGUGUCGUAUUCUCAUUUAACAAUGGCAUUAUGCACUCUACAGUUUCACUUGAUCGUUGCAUUUGUUAGAGAAAAACAAGAAAUUGGUUUGAUGCACAUCCUGAUCGAAAUUGUGUAGCCAACUAUUCUGUGAAUGUCGUUUGUCUACCGGGCUGCAAAAGCUCUUGUGCAUACCUCAAUUGCCAUUGUUAUGGGUUCCGAAUCGAAUGCUGUGGUAUAUGUGAAGCAUUUUAAAUCUCAUUUUGAUUGAUCUGAUUACCAUGUUGUCCAACUUCUUCAUGUGACAUAACAUUUGUUCGGCGUCCCUUAAUGCUGACAUACACAGUCGAAACAUUCCUCUGUUCUAGCAGAAUUAAUGCAACAUCCUCAUCGUCCUUAAUAAUUGGCCGUGAUAGCUCUCCAGGCAUAUUGAUCAAUGCAUGUAACUCAAUCUUGUCAAUUUCUGAGUUUACCCCAAUAAAAUCUUCAACCAGCUUCAUCAAGCCCGCAAACGACAAAUCACUCCUAACCUCCCGCAUUCGUGACUCACCACCCUUGUAAAUGCCAUCCACCCACUGACCACCAUGUCUUAUCACAAGUCGCACAAUUGGAACCCCACUGAAAUUUUGAAAAAAAAAUAUUGUUAAUCAUUUUACACAAUACACGUCGUGAUAAAAAAUUUAUCAGUCGUGUUGUUACACGCCAUGCAUAUAACGUAAAAUAUUGUAACACAUCAUGCAUAUCAAAUCAAAUGUCGUGACACGUCAUGCAUCACUAUCGUGACAUGCCAAUCACAGUAAUUACUGACUCGUUACACCAACAACCAUGACACUGUAAAAACCCAAAAAACCAGUUUAUCCACAACACGCCAGGAACAACCGUGACACACCCAAAACCCAAAAAACCAGUUAACCCACGACACGCCAGGAAUAGCUGUGACAUGCCAAAAACCCAUAAAUUCAGUUGUCAUGCCAAGAACAAUUGUGACACGCAAAAAAUCCAUAAAUUCAGUUAACCCACGACACGCCAGGAACAACCGUGACAUGUUAAAAACCCAUAAAUUCAAUUAACCCACGACACGCCAGGAACAGCCGUGACACGCUAACAACCAAAAAAACUAGUUAACCCACAACACGCUAGGAAUAACCGUGACACGCUAAAAUAACGCUAACACAUGUUAUAGAUGCAUGGCGUGUAACAACUCUGGGCAAUGUUUCUAAUCUAACUUCUAAUUUACACCAAAUGUUUCAGAAAUUUAAGUGUGUUGCAAAAAUAAACCCAAUAACAGGUACCUUGAUGUCAUCUCUGCUAUAGGGUCCGUUAAUCUACGAUAAUGUGGCCAGAUGCCUAGAGAUAGACCAUAGCCGAUGACGAUGGUGCUCAAUAGAGAGUUCACAGAGCUUAUACAGUUCAGAGAUCUAAGAGAGUUGACGACGAUGGUGCUCAACAGAGACUUGCCAGAGUUGAGACAGUUCAAAGAGUUGAGAGAGAAAGAUGACCGAGCCUAAACAGCUGCGCGCAUUUAUUUUUAUUUUUUUCUAUUUUCUCUUUGGCAUGAGGCAUAUAGCUCAAACAAAUGAGCAUUUAUUUGAAACGAUGUUUUUAAGGGUAUUUUGGUCUACUCAUGCUUAUUUUUUGCUAGAAACAGAUAAUUUUAUAUGGAUAGUUAUUUCUAAAAUCACCUUAUCACAAGGUCCUUUUCUUACAAUUUUCUCUUUUUUUUUUUGCUAUCAUUUCUUGUCUUCUUUUUGCCUCAAAUGUUUUUUUUUUAAGUUCUCAUUAAUUAAGAAGAUACAGAUUACUACUUCCAAAAAAAAAAAAGAAGAUAAAGAUUACAAAUGGGACAUAGACAUCAUUGCUAUCAAAGCUUUUGAAUGAUUGAUAAAUGUCUUUUAGAUUUUUGUCAUUUUGCAAUCAUUUUUACCUUGGGAUCCAUUUAUUUCUGACUUUCUUGCUUGGUAGGUUUAAUGGCUUUCAUGGAAAAAUACUUGCCCUAUUUUUUUUUUUUUGGAUUAAAUUCUGUGUUUUAAGGGAUUGAAGCUUUACACUUCGUUUAACACAAGGAAAAAUGGCGAAAUACAUCAAACGAUUCAUAUAGUGCAAGGAUCAUGUUUUGCUUGAAGAGAAGUAGAAGGUCAAGGCACAUCUCUACUUUUUGAGCUAUCAUUUACAGAUCCUUAGGAACGUUUCCUCCAUGGCUGGUGAUCUAACACAAGAAAGAAGAUCAUCUAAGCCUAAAUUGUUCUAAUCAAAGCUAUUUCGAUUCAUUGAUCCCUCGAUUAUUGUUCUUUAUUUUUUUCAUUUUUCAAUCAAUUUUAUCUUGAGUUGAUGGCUUCCAAUUAUGUUGCCCCUUUUCGUAAUUUUCUGAACUACUUUGUUGGUUUAAUGGAUUUCAUGUAAAAACACUUGCACUAUUUAUUUCAAUUUUGGGUUUAACUUUUGUGAUCAAAUUAUGCCCCCAAUGGAUGUAAAAUUUAAUGAAAAAAUAAAUAAAUAAGGUUCAAGAUUCAAUUUCAUGUAUUGAAAGAAGUACAAAUAAAAAUAUAUAUAUUGAAAGAUGUAACUAAUUUAGAUUAUUUAAGGUGAAUAUUCUGGUUCGGCCAAAGAAAAAAAAGGCCUUAUUCUGUAAAUGUUUUAUAGUAGUUGUCUCUAAAUUUUCUAUUGUUCUUUGUAAGGGACUACAAUUAUUUGAUAGUUCUAUGAAUCUAGAUUUGUCAUAUAAAUUAAGGCAGAAUUCCCCCUACCCCUUAAAUUAAAUCCCUCAGCCAAAAGAAAAAAAAUCCAAAAGUUAAACUCUACAAAAUCUAUUUGUCAUUGGAAAAAAAGGAAAGCCCAAGAAAUGAUUUCUUGGGCUGGAAAUGGCUUUAUUUACGUGGAUGAAUAAAACACAACCCUUUCAACGUUCAUAUUCAAACGUUGUACAAUUAAUGGAAUACGUAUUUUGUUUAAAUAAAAAAAAGAAGAUUAAAAGAAAGGAAGGCAGAUACACCAAUUUGGAUUUGAAUGAUUUAUAAUUAUGAUGAUUUUCAUAUUCAUAUUCACUUUUGUUAAUAAAAAAGUUUUUGAAAAAGAAUUUUUAUAGACAGUUGAAAUUUGGUGUUAAUAAGCAUAGGAAAAAUAAAAAAAAUAAGUAAUUAAAUAGACUUGAUUUUUUAUCAUCUCGGUCCAUCUCAUUAUCUUUGUUCUUUAUUGAUUUUUUUAUUAAAUAAACUCGACUUUGAUCAUUAUUUUUAAUCACAUCAUAAAGUUAUAAAAUUUUUGAAAAUAAGAUUUGUAAAUUUUGAAUUUUAAACUUUCAAAAUAUAUUUUUUGAAUUUUGAAUUAUAUAUAAUAUUUUAAAAAUAAUGAUAAAAAUUGAGUUCAUUAAUUUGACGAAAAAAAUCAAACAGAUAUAAAUAAAACGAGAUGGGGAUAGCAUGUAUUUGUAAUAAAAUUAGGCUCCCGUUGAUGAGUACUUUUACUUCCUUUUCCUUUUUCUAUUGCAAAAAAUGAAUAAAAAGGAAAAGGCAAAAUAAAUAUAUAAAAAAAGAUAAAAGUAUUAAACUGGCACGGAAUCUAAGUGCAUGUAGAAAUAAUCGAAUCCCUUCUUAUAAUUCUUAUUAUAAGCAUUACCUGGUAAAAUUUUCUUCCAUCAAUGAGAAAUUACUUCAUUUUAAAUGCUUUAUGUGAACUUGCUGCCAAGCUAUGCUACCAUGGCCAGAUCUUAUAGGUUGAAGUAACAAUCAAACUCUCAAUAUGUCAAUAAAUCACUUGGAACCUUCAUAAUAAAAGUGUACUUGGCUUGUAUAGGAAAAUUAAAGUUUUAUUUCCCAGGUCUUGAUUUAAAAAUCAAAAAUAAAAACAAGAAAUAGAAGAAUUUCAGGCUUGUUCUUUUACUUAUUGUACAUACAAACAGCAACAUAACAUUGAUUGAGUAAAUUAUUGAAAGCAAGUGAUCCCUUCCCUUGACAAGUCCAUGAAGCCAACAUCUUGACCAACGAUAAGCACAAUAAUUUCAACUACCCGUUUUUCUUUUUUUUUAUAUAUAUAUAUAAAUAAUAAAGGUUAGCACAAAUGAACCACCAAAACUUGAUUAGGACUAGGCAAACAAGUGAAAGAAAUGAAAAUGGAAAGUAGCCUUUGUUUUACCUGUGUUUAGUUGACGGCCCCAAAAUACUCCUUGAUAUUUAAACAUGCCUUUGGAACUUCUCCUACAAUCAUCUCAUAGUUCUUCCUUGUAAGGUGGUAGAUGAUCACCCGGACGCUGCCGGCGCCAAUCUAUGGUCUUGGUGUGGACUACAUUCUGAUCAGUGACAGAUUCUUCGGUGGUAUCUUGCUCAACCAGUUGCGGUGUCUUUUUAAUAAUUGAAACAGUAAAAUGUCAAACAAAAGUAUUAAUGUUACAUGUUAUAAGGGUAAAAGAAAAACUAGACAUUAUAAUUUAUAAGCAUUUUAAGUCAAAAAUUUAUUAAAGGUGACGGAAAGUGAUAUUCUAGACCAACAAUCAUUUAAGUAAUUUUUUUUAAAGUAUUUUAAGUAAUUUAAGUAAAGACUUUGAAGAUUAUGUCUUAUAAUAUUAUUAAAGACUUGAAUUGCCUUUGCACACACCAAAUAAAAGCUUCUAUUUAAUGCAGUAAUCAAUAGUAAAAGCUCUUAAUCAUCAUUAACAAUUAUGUUGGGAGGAUUUGGAGAAUGAAGAAGGUAUUUACAGUUUUUGUGAAUAAUAUUCUUGCAAGAGUCCAUUAUUGAAGAUGGCUUCAAAGGAUUUCUUAUCAAUUUGGAAAGGUUGUCAAUACAUUUAUAGGGAGAAAUAAAAGCAAAUAUGGUAAGAGGCAUCCAUUUAUCAUAUUUGGAUCUUUUAAUAAAGCUAGAAGAGCAGGCCAAAAUUUAAAUGGAGCCUGACUUCUUAACCAAAGGCUAGAGGAACCAAAAAGGAAGCUUCUUAUGGACCUAGUACUAACGACAAUGGGAAAGAAACCUGCAGUGGGAUUUUGAGACAAAACUCGACCUUAUUCACUAAGCCAUCUUAUGCUCUGGUAUUGAAGGGUGCUUUUGAAAGUGGUGGAGCUUCAAAUGAAGAGAGAGGAGAUGAUCUUCAAUGUCCUAAAAAGCAUGGAAAACAUGCUUUGUUUGAAGAGAAGUGUUGUGGUAACAACAUAAUGUAAUUCAGAUUCAGCAAAUUUAAUGGCAUUAUUUAAAAUGCAAGGCAUUUCAGGGCUGCUUGAGGAGUUUGUCUAACAAAGAAUUUCUGCUAAACUUUAAGGAUAAGGAGCUGUUUGAAGAGUUCAAAGAUAAAGGUUGGGAUUGGCUUAACAAAUGGUUUACUAAGGUGGAAACAUGGUUAGAGAAUUUUUCAUCAAAACUCCUUAGCAAGUGGUUUAUUGUACAGGGCAUCCUUUAGAUGUGUGAAAUAGGCAUAUUGUAAUUUAUAAGCAUUUUAGGCCAAAUUCAUUAAAAGUGAUAUUCUAGACUAAGUUUUGGUUGUAGUGUCACACACAAUCAUUUAAGUAAGUUAAGUAAAGACUUUGAGGAUUAUGCCUUAAAAUAAAAAAGAUUAAAGUUUUUAGGGUGUAUACCUCUAUUUUGGCGUGCACAUAUUCCUCUGAAUCUAUGAAGAAGCCUGUAGUCAUCUUGGGACAUUCUCUUACUUUCAAAGAAAUCAAAGCCGAUAAUACAAAGUGAUAUCCUCUCGGGCAGAAGUCAAUGAGGCUUGGCAGUUCUUUAAGUGAUAAAUAUUUUAAUUGAUCAAACUUUAUUUCUUUUUCAGUUAUCACUUCUACUUCAUCUUCAAGUUCAAACAGUUGCUCCAAUUUAGAGUUCCCUUUAACUGUUAACUUUUCAAGUUUUGGAAGACAACAAGCAGAUCCAAGGGGAAAGAGACAUCUUAGCCUCUUGCAAUCAAUCACCUUUAGAAUUGUAAGGUUUUUGAGAGUAACAACUUGAGUGACAUCCUUCCAUAUAAUACACACUUCAGAUAAAUCCAACAGGUAGAGUUCCCUUAUAUGCCCAUGAACAUGGAAUACCUCUUCAUGACUCCCAACUGCUAUGUAGUCUUGACUGCAAUUGGCAGAAACACGCAAUUGACAACUAUUUCCCAACUUAGACAGAAGUAAUUCCUGCAAAUAUAGACACCACUAAAUGUCACAAGUACAUUCAUUUUCUAUUAGAAUGGGAAUAGUUGAGCAAAUGCUACUAAUAAUUUUUCAUAAUUUUAUAUGCCACUUCACAAAAAAUCCUUACAAUUUUAACGGCAGCACAUAUAUAUGUUUCAAAAUUUAAAUCCAAAAGUUUCAUGAAAUUGUUUGAAAGUAGAAUCCAAAGACACCUAACCCUUUCAAGUUUUUCUCUGUUAAUUUUGAACUUAAAACCAUUUAUGGUUUUCCUUUUCGUUUGUAUUUUUCUUUGUCAUUUUGUCUUGAACAAUGUUGAUUUGAAAAGUAAACACAAAGUGAUAAAGUGUCAAUUUGUUUUUGUAAUUUUCCUUAAUUAUAUAUAACAACACAAAAGAAAUCCACCCCCCCCGCCCCCCCAAACGGAAAGCCUAAAUCUCUCAAUCUCUUUCUCUUGUCUGAAACUUGAAUUGAAGAAAGUAGAAACACCUUCAAUAAAAAAAAAAGGAACUCAUGGCCAAGAAGAAAAAGAAAACUUAAAUUGCAGAAGAAAGAGAAAAUGGAAUCGAAGAAGGAAAAGGAAGCUCGAACAAGAAAAAAGGAAUUGCUAGGAUGUCAUCGUGAAAAAAAUAUAUGAUGAAUUUGAAGUCAGAAACAAGGACAAGGAAAACCCAAAGAUCCCCAGGUUACCCACAAAUAAUAUUUAUUUUUCAAAAUAGAUAGUAUAAAAUUUUUGAAUUGUAACUUUAAAAUGUAGUUGGAUUAGUUUAUGAGUGUUGAAAAGAUUUGGUUCAAAGGUAAAAUCUAAAACUAUAAUUGAAGGAAAAGUGUAUAAAAGAUACCUUUAGUAGAACCUGCUCGUUAACUUCUUUUUGAAUUGUGAAAUUUGUCAAUUUAGGACAGUUCCAAACACCCAACUUCUCCAAGGAUGGUGAUGAGAUGAGAAAGUUUUCCGAGCAAAAGCAACUCAAAUUUAUCAAGUUUACAAGUAGUAAAUCUUGUAGGGAAGGGAGUGCAAUGGCACAAUCAACUCCAUUCUUUUCUUUUGCCACAUGGAAGACUUGUUGUAACUGAGGAGAAUUGCUUAUCCAAAAUGAUUUCAAUCGUGGAAGAACUUGAGCCAAAGGAAUUUGAAAAAUAUUUUCCAAUAUUGGACAAUGACUUAUUCGUAGAGUUUCCAAUUUUGGCAAAAACGACGAAUGGAGAUGGGUAUUUGUUUCUAUUUCAUCAUCACAGUCCAACUCGGUGAUAAUGUGUUGCAAUCCAUCACAAUGAUCUAUCUGGAGUUGUUCAAGGAGCACCAAGCUUUGAGCAAGGGAUGGUGAAAAGAGAUGUUUCAAUCUAUUGCAGUAACUAAUUUCGACAAACUUCAAGCUUUGGAGGCUGACAAAACAGGUGGACCCUUUCCAUAUCCACUUCAAUUCUGGUAAUAAUUUUAGCUCCAUCAGUGUUAAAUUUGACAACAGCGAUCCUUGAUUUUCUUUCGUAUCAUGAAGAAACUCAUCUAUUUGAAAUACUUCUUGCAACUGGCCACAGUUAAUAACUUUCACUUCCUCUAGAUUUUGUAGCGCGGGAGAUAAAAAAGCCAUUUCCAUGCAAUUCCUUGCUUCCAACGUCUUUAGUUUUUGUAGAAACCCUUUUGGAAACCCACCGUUGCACAACAUUUUCAAACCAGUCAUUUGUUCUAUGAAUAAUUCCACCAAAUUAGAGAAGGCAUUGGAUGAGACAUGGCCUUGUGUUGUAUCAAUCAAGCAUUCCAGCUCCUCACCAUCUUUAAGUGUAAGAAAAGUUAAUUCAUUAAGCCCCUUUGGAUCUACAUUUGGAAUAAGAUUUUUCUGAUUCUUGACUCCAUCCAAGGUAAGAUUUUUGACAUUGUGUAAUAACUCCUUCAAUGCAUGCAAUUGAUCACUCUGAUAAAUUCACAACAAAAUGAAUAUUAGACAAAUAGAAAAUAGCAUAAAAUUUAAAAAUUGACACAAAAGAAAACUGUUUUAUCUUUUCAUUGAAAGCUCAUUAAAGUUGAAAAACACACCAAAGCUUGGAGUAUAAGUAAUAGUGUACAUGCUGAAAUUUAUUGGAUACAUGGAAAUAUGAUUUAGCAAUAAAGUACACGUGGCGUGCAUGCAAGGAAGGAAAAAAAAUAAAAAUUUUUAUUGCCACAUGCUUGUUUGCUUUUUGUUCAUUAAAUGCAUUAAAUUUUUUAUUUUAUCAUGCCACGUAUCUGCUAUUGCCACGUCAUAGUUUAACAUGUCCUAUAAAUGCUAGCGUGGCUAGGAGUUAAAAAUCCAUGGAUUCUAUCCUAAUAAGGAUGCUUGGACAAUGACAAAGAACACUUUAAGAGCUUAAUGAGAUGCAAUUAUAUGCUAAAUUAUCAUGCAGCACUCUCAAUCUUAUAAUAUGAAUGAAUUCUUUUUUUUUUUUAAUGACAAGUACGCUAAGUAAUUAAUGAAGGAAUUGGAGACAAAGUUGCUGAUGAUGAGAGUUUGAAUUUUUCUAAGGAUACAAGUGUGACUUAUCCUAAUUUUUAUAAAAUAAUGCUUUGUAAAAACCUUUCUUGAAUAAGAGUUUUCAUCUUUUUCCUAUUUUGUUAUUCAAAUCCUUUUCCCAUUUCAAGAAAGAUUCAGAAUCAACUAGCUAAUUAUUGUACGAAUGUGCUGUUCUUUCUUUUUAAUUCAUGAGUAUUGACUUUUAAUAUCCGUCAAAAUAAAGAGUAUAAUUUUUGAACAACAAGGAAAAGUGUAUAAAAGAAAUACCUCUACUUGAAUUUUCUCGUUAACUUCUUUUUGAAUGUUGAAAUUUGCCAAUUUAGGACAGUUCCAAACUUCCAACUUCUCCAAAGAUGGUGAUGAGAUGAGAAAGUUUUCUGAGGAAAAGCAACUCAAAUUUAUCAAGUUUACAAGUAGUAAAUCUUGUAGGCAAGGGAGUGCGAUGGCACAAUCAACUCCAUUCUUUUCUUUUGCCCCAUGGAAGACUUGUUGUAACUGAGGAGAAUCGGUUAUCCAAAAUGAUUUCAAUCGCGGAAGAACUUGAGCCAAAGGAAUUUGAAAAAUAUUUUCUAAUAUUGGACAAUGACUUAUUCUUAGAGUUUCCAAUUUUGGCAAGAACGAAAAAUGGAGAUGGGCAUUUGUUUCUAUUCCAUCAUCAUAGACCAACUCGGUGAUAAUGUGUUGCAGUCCAUCACAGUGAUCUAUCUUGAGUUGUUGUAGCAGUACCAAGCUUUGAGCAAGGGAUGGUGAGAAGAGAUGUUUCAAUCUAUUGCAGCAACUAAUUUCUACAAACUUCAAGCUUUGGAGGCUGACAAAACGGGUGGACCCUUUCCAUACCCAAUUCAAUUCUGGUAAUGAGUUUAGCUCCAUAAGUGUUAAAUUUGACAACAGCAGUCCUUGAUUUUCUUUCGUAUCAUGAAGAAACUCAUCUAUUUGAAAUACUUCUUGCAACUGGCUACAAUUAAUAACUUUCACUUCUUUUAGAUUUUGCAGCGCAGGAGAUAAAGAGACCAUUUCCAUGCAAUUCCUUGUUGUCAACUUCUCUAGUUUUUGUAGAAAGCCCUUUGGAAACUGACCGUUGCACAACAUUUUCAAACCAUUCAUUUCUUCUAUUACUAAUUCCACCAAAUUGAAGAAUGUAUUGGUUGAGACAUGGCCUUGUGUUGUAUCAAUCAAGCAUUCGAGCUCCUCGCCACCUUUAAGUGCAAGAAAAUUUAAUUCAUUAAGUCCCUUUUGAUCUACAUUUGGAACGAGAUUUUUUUGAUACAUGACUCCAUUCAAGGUAAGAUAUUUGACAUUCUGUAAUAACUCCUUCACUGCUUGCAAUGGAACGUCCUGAUAAAUUCACAACAAAAUGAAAGAUAUUAGAAAAAUAGAAAGGUAGAUAAUACUCCUUAAAUCAGAAUUGAUUUUUUUUUUCUAUGCAUAAAAUUUAAAAAUUGAGACAAAAGAAAACUGUUUUAUCUUUUCAUUUAAAGCUCAUUAAAGUUGAAAAACAUACCAAAGCUUGGAGUAUAAAUAGUGUAUAGUAUUCUUUUAUGUACAUAUUAAUGUACUAAAAGAAAGAUGUUUUUCUAUGAUCAGAUAAAUAAUCAAUUAAUAAUUAUCAAAAGUAAAAUUGAAACAAACGAAAAUAUAACAGAACUACCAUCAAUAGAGACCGCGACCAAAGUCCUUCGUGAAUAUGGAAACGAGUCAUUGAUCCGCGUGGGAGACCAAUACUGCAAGCUUGGAAUCCCUUCAAAGAUGGCAACAUGACAAAAUAGUUUCUGGGACAAAAGUUCCUGAAGUUUAGUAAGUAUUCAAGUCUUAAAGACUGUAAGCGAGGGAGCAGAAUAUCGUGCCCAUACUCUUCUUUUGCCAUGUUGAAGACAUGCAUUAGUUGAGGGCAAUCAAUUAUCUGAACUGAUUCCAAGUGCGGAAGUCCUUGAGCCAAAGUGAUGGGAAACACAUAUCUCAAGCUUUCGCAACUAGCUAUCACAAGAGAUUUUAAUUUUGGCCAGCACAGAAGAGAGCGAUCCUUGUUUGAAAUUAUCUCAUCACCAUUUUCUGCUUCGGUGAUUAAAUGUUCCAAAGAGUUGCUUCCCUUUAUCCAGAGUUCUUCCAGAUGCACCAAAGUUUGAGCAAGUGUAGCUAAAAAGAGAUACUCCAGUUUAGAACACGAGCAAAUUCUCAUAGUUUUAAGAUUCUGGAGGUUAACAAGAUGGGUGGGUUCUCUCCAUAUGCACCUCAAUUCUGGUAAGGACUCCAGCUCCAAACAAAUUAAAUUUGAGAGUGGGGGUGCCUGAUUUUCCUCACAUAAAACAUAUAUUAUCAAUAAAUAAUUAUUUAAAUAUGAAUUCGUUGUACUUGUUCAAAAAAGUACUUAAAUAUUAAAGGCAUACAUUUUAAAAAAUUUUAAAACGAAGUGUAAAAAGCCACAAUUUAGAAAGAUUACAACUGAUGUUUACUUAUAUAUUUGGUAAUUUAACAUAAAAAAACACAAUUAGAUAAAGAACAAAUAAUAGAAUUAUUAAAGGAAAAAUGGAGAGAUGAGGGGUACCUCCAACUCAGCCAUAUCUUGGGCAAAAGCAAAGACUUGCUCUAAUUUCUUGCAUGCAGAUAUCUUGAGUUGUUCAAGAUGCAACAAACUUUGAGCAAGGCAAGGUGAGAAGAUUGAUUUUAGUUUAUCACAACCAUCAACUUUUACAUCCUUCAGAUUUUGUAGGCUUACAAGAUGAGUUGGCUCUUUCCAUAUACUCUCUAAUGCUGGUAAUGACUGCAGCUCCAAGCUUCUUAAAUUUGAGAUCGACCACAUACAACCAUUCAUUUGAAACACUGAUUGCAACUGUCCACAAUCGCAAAUGAUCAAUGUUUCUAAGUGUUGUAAGAAGCUAUUCGGUAAUUGACCAUGGCAUAACUCUUUCAAAGAAGUCAUUUUACCAAUGUCUAAGUUCACCAAAUUAGAGAAUGCAGUGGCUGGACUCUGUUCUCGUGUUGUAUCGAUCAAGCAUUCCAAAUCAUCGCAAGAUGUAAGCUGAAGAGAAGUUAAUUCAUUUAGUCCCCACUGAUCUACAUUUGGAACAACAGUUUUGUGUUCCAUGAUAUUCUCCAGACUCAGCCUUUCCACAUUGCGAAACAGCUCCUUAAAUGCAUUUAAUGAGGAGGAAUCUCUAAUUCUCAAUAUUCUCGAGAUAAGCUUUCUCGGAAUUUCAAUGUAUCCAUUUACACCUAUAUUGUAGCUUUGUAGUUUAGGAAACACAAAGUUUUCUUGAAAACAUUGAUCAGUAGAAACUGUCAAUGUUAAUGCAGUCAAACGAGACAACGAAUUCAACUCCGAUAAGUUGGCAAUGGUAAAACUUAACAUGUGUAGCUCUUGGAGUGACGUUAACCUGUUACACACAAAUACACAAUAUUAUUAACACAAUAACAGCACUUUCAAGCAGACAAUGAAAUAGCUACUAUUAAACUACAGCUUGCAAUGUUUCAUAAUAAUCGGAGUGACUAAAAGCUCAUGAUAUAUAUACAUAUAUAUAUAUAUAUAUAUGUAUAUAGUAGUCAAAUUGAAAACAACAAAAGGAAAAAUAAAAUAACAUAAAAUUAAAUUUUUUUUUUACUCAGCCAAGAAAAAAAAGAGAUUUAUAUAUAGACAGCUUAAAUGUACAAAAUAAGAAGAAACAAGAACAACCGCUCAAAGCAAAAAACUUAAAAAGAAGCAACUUGAUAGCUUGGCUGGAGGCAAAAUCAACACUUCAUAUGAGAUGACAUGUUACGGGAUUGGUGUCAGUACACAAGAGACCAACAUAUCAAACAGUCUCAUAAAAAUCGACCAAGGCAAAGAUGAAUAUAUUGGCACAAUCAGAUUGCCAGCGGGAAACAAUAAAAUUAAAUACUUAAGUAAAAACAAUUAGAUAAUCAGUUUUAAUGACAUCUAAGUAUUACCUUGAUAUCAAGUUAGGGGGGACAUGUCUGUCUUCAUCUCCAACCCAAAAAAUAUAUAGUGACUUUAGUCUGCGCAACUCCACUAAUUCUUCAGGUAAUUCAUCAAUAUAAGUUCUAAUCAAAGACAAAGACUCAAGAUUUUCUAGAUUUCUCAACGAUGAAAUGUUCUCAACGUCACACCUCAUAAUGCACAGAGUUCGCAGAUUUGUUAGGAAUUGAAGUGCUUCCAUUGAGAAUACAACACGUUGAAGAAAUAAAACUCGGAGGGUUUUCAUUCCUUCAAAAAAUUUACUCGGAACUCUUAGGUAAUCUUCUCCCGUUAAAAACAAAGUCUUGAGUUUUGAAAAUUCUAAUUUAUCGGGAAAAUUAACUAUCUUAAUAUUCCAUAAGGAGAUUGUUGUGUAACAACCAAAAAUUUCACUCUUAGGCCAUUCCGUCAGCUCAUUUUUUACCAUGAACAUAUUUUCCCCUCUUGAUGUUAUCCAAUGAGCAAAAUCACGAACCACAUCAUGCAUUUUUACAUAGAAUUCAUCGUCAGUUUCCAAUAACAAACCAAACUUUUGGAGCUUUGAUAGUGCUAGAUGAAUUUCCCUCCUUAUUUCUUCAAUUAAGUUAAUAUGACAAAACAGUCCCUGACCAAUUCCGAAUUCAGUCAACAACUCAACAUUAAUAUCAUAAUCUUCUGGAAAAAGAGAACACAACAAGAAACAUGACUGAAUAUUUUCUUCCUUCAAAUAAUCAUAACUAAGCUUAAGGCAGCUAUAGAUACCUCCACAAACAUCUUGAUUAUCCAAAUGUCUUGACUCCUUAAGUCGUUGAUUUGCUGCUAUCCACCCAUUUAGACUUUCACGUUUUAGAGCUUUCGCCAUAGUUACAAUUGCAAGAGGCAAACCCUUAGCUUCACGAGCAACCUCCUUGGCUACAUCAUUCAAGGUGGGAGAGGCAUCUUUUAGACCAGCAUUAUCUUUGAAUAAAGCCCAUGCCUCAUCUUCAGACAGAAUGUUCAGUUUAAAUUCUUCUUGACAAUUCAUUUGACUACAGACUUGUCGAAGACGUGUAGUUAGAAGAAUUUUGCAACCAGGGUGUUUGUCACCAGAUGGAAUUCCUAUAUUUCGCAAUUCAAACUGUUCCCAAACAUCAUCGAGAAUAAUGAGAAUCUUCUUCUCGCCUUUUAAUCUCUUGAAUAACUCUUCUGCUUUUCCUUCUUCUGUACUUGCAUUAAAUUUUAAACCCAAGAUUUCAGAAAUUCUAUGUUGAAUUUUGUUGAUGUCUGGAUUUUGAGACACCCCCCUAACAAUCACAACUUUAUCAAAGAGCUUUUCUUCCGUAGCUUGCUUCCCCACUACUUCCGCCAAAGUUGUUUUACCCACUCCUGGCAUUCCGUGCAAUCCAAUCACGUUCACACCAUCACCUUUUAAAGCCUUCAUGAUCCCAUUGAAAGCUAACGUUGAAGAUUCGGAACGCAUGAAAUCCUUGGGUAGUAGGAACUCUAUUCCUUGAAGAGGAGGGCGCUGGCCGACUAGUGGAAAGUUACAGGUCUCUAAAAGUUUAGAGAUACAAAGAUUCUUCUUCGCGACUUUCUUACUUAAGCAAUAUCGCCAACCCCAACUAGGACACCAAUUGAAACACUUGUUACGCUCUAUUUCUUCUUCCAAACUCUGAGCUUCUCCCAAUUCUUUAUCUGCCUUUGUUAGCCACUCCUCAACGCCCUUCUUAAUUACCUCAGUUUGCCUUAAAGCCUCAUCGACAGCAUCUUUCAACUCAUCUCUUUUUGAUUCAAGUUCAUUUCGCCGGUUCUUGAAAUCUUCAACAAUUUCGCCAAAACGGAAAAAGUAACGGAGAUAAGGUGAUGCGUAUUCUGUUGCUAAGUUCCCCGCGGUACCGCUAAUAGCAGCGCAAACACAUUCAAGAAACAUUCUUUGAUGAUCUGAGGCUGAAAAACAAUUUGGAUGAGUAAAAUGUUUUACAGAGAGACAAAAAGUAAUUACGAAAUGUUCACAAAAUAUCUCGCCUUUGCAGCAAUACUUUUAUAAAAUAUGUGAAUCACAAGAGAACAAAUUGUCCGCCGACUAACUUGGAAAUUGAAAAUGCUGCACAAGUAGAAAUUAUUCACUGGUCAUGUGUAUAGUAAUUAGAAAUAUAUCUUACAUGUUAGAGUAAAAUCAUAGUAUUAUGAUUCUAUAAAAUACUUUCUCAAAAUUUAAAAUAUCUAUUUAUUUCAGUUUUUUCCUAAUAGCUACAGCUUUUGUGUAACCAUGCAUGCUCGUCAUGGGCAAGGAAAGAAGUAAAGUGCAAAAUUAUUAUUUUUAUUUUCCAAGUGAAGAACUCAAGAAGUCAAAUGCAUAAGUGACAAGAGAAAUAAAAAGCAUAGCAAAAAUUAUAUAUGGACAAUAUAAUAUGUAUUGUUGAAGCUUACCUCACUUCGAAAGGAUCUUCUAACGCUGCAUGGAUUUUUUCUUCACCAACUCCGGAGAUCGGGAAAGUAAAAUUAAGGACUUCUUUUCUGGAUAGAAAGCAGAGAAAUCCAAAUACUAGAGGUAGCAGCUUUGGGUUUUUUUUUUUUUUUUGGCCUUUGUGGAGCUGAGGAAAGGAAACGUAGGGAUCAAAGAACAGUUUUUGUUUUUUAUUUUUCUGAGUUAAAAGAAAAUGAGGAAAGUAGAAACCAAUGGAAAAAACGAACAGAGAUUUUUUUUUUUUUUGAGUUGAAAGAAAAUGAGGAAAGCAGAAACCAAUGACAAUAAACCAACAGAGAUGCUUUUCUGUUUUUGAGUUGAAAAAUUGAGUGGAAAAAUCAAGGAAAAUGAAAUGGAAAAUUAAGGCAGAAAUCAAACAAAAUCUUUGGGAUAGUGCAGCUCACAGAUGUGGAGAUGGUAGAAGAAGAAGCUUGAAUGGAAACUCUAUGAAGACGAAGUAGUGAGAGUAGGUAUAGGAACUUUGGAACACUAAUAUUCAAAUUAGGAACAACGGAAAAAAAUUAGCAACUUGGCUUACACUUCCCAUGUAAGAUUCUCUUUUCUUUGAUAUGCGAGAGCUAAUGCUAUACAUUGAGAAAGUUAAUUUGUUUUAUUUAUCGUUUUUCAGUUGGCUUUUCCAUAGUUUGUCCCCCUUUUGUUUUUUCUUCCCUGGUUGUGGGUGGUGCUCGAGACACAAAUGUUUAUUGCUCCCUCUAGCUAAAAGCUCUUUGGCCAGCAUGUGCAAUCAACAUUAUUAUAUAAUGUUUAUAGAUUUGAGGAUUUUUGUUUACCACUAGAGACAGUUGCAUGUGAACGAAUUAGAUAUUCUAUUCAAAUUUUAAUUGGGAAUCAGUAAAAUUUCAUUAAUAAAAAAAUUAUUUGGUGAUUAAGUUUAUUUAAAGGAUAAAUAUAGUUAAUGAUUAAGAGUUUUUAAUGGAUAGGAAUUCAUGGUGACAAAGUAAUAUGGUUUUAUAAAUAUGGAAUGUGUCUUAACUUUUAAAAUUAAGAUAGAGAUGAGAUCUUUAUAUGAUCUUAUGUAAAAGAUAAUUUUUUUUAAAUGGAGUUUUUUGUAAAAACUUCACAGAAUUAUAGAGAUGUGAGAAGGAGCACGAGAAAUACAAGAAAGAGUAGGGGAAACGCAGUUUGCAUGGGAUCGAAAGUAUUUUAUGAGUUGAAACAAUAGGGAGCACAGAAACUGGAUUUGUUUCGAAGCUUAAGUUUAGUAUUUGUUUUUAUUUGUACUUUUUGUAAUCUCUAUGCCUAUAAUGAAUUUUUCUGAAUGCAUAUUAAAUAUUAUCUCUUAUAUGUGCUUUAUAAAUUAAAUUUUCAUUUGUAAUUUAUUUACUUAACUUACAAAAUAUAUAGUAUAAAAAGGAGGGUUUUUCUUUCUAGUUUUUUAGUGAUAUAUUACCUUGGACUCCGCACCUGGUCUUUAAGCUCAUGUGGUUAAAGCUCAGCAGAGUAAUAAGAUUUGGUCAUUAUCUUGGGCUUUACGUUGACCCAACCAGAGCAAUCUACUCUCAUUUUAAGGAAAGGAAGUACUUAUUGUAAACCUUGAACUAGUGGGAGUAAUUGUUUAUAUACCUUUCUCUCUUCCAAAACGUUGGUCCUAUCCUUUUAUUUCGAAUUUUUUCAUUUUUUAGUUAAUUUUCUUUUAAAAAAUUAUAUUCUGUGGAGGGAGGACAUGAGCCCGUAGUGAAAAUGUAUUUGUAUUAUCAAAAUCAAAUAAAAACUAAAAGAAAUAUCAUCAAAAACAGGGGUCAAAGCCUUGUACCCUUUCUAUACUUUUAUCACUUCGCUUUUUCCGUUAUAUUUGGUCUUUGAGGUGAUGGCCUUGGAGUAGUAAUGUAUUCUUCCAACAAUUACUAGUCAUUUUACAAUAAUAGGAAAUUUUUUAGUAAAAUAUUUAUAUAAUAUAUUGCCCUGUUUAAAUUGUGUAGGCCUCAAUAAGUUAAAUUUUGAGCUGAUUAAAUUAUCGAAAAUUAUCCAAUAAACUGUCAUGGAGUUUGAAAACUUUAUCAAUGGAAUUAGGAGGUUGCAACAUAUUCAUUCGGAUAUAUUUGAAAAAAUAAAUAAAUUAAUCUGAUAAAUAAAAGGAUAUUAAUUUGACAAUAUUUUAAUUUUACUAACAAAGUUAAAAUCUCACCGAGGAUGCAUAGAUUAAUAGUCCUUAAAAUAAUCCCUUUGUUUUUACAAUUGAGGGACAUUGAUCGUUACAUGCAUUAGUAGUGGAGAUUUGUUGCCUUUUCCUUAAAAGAUCAUUACAUUUUUUGCUUAAUUGCAUGCUUGUGUUCGGCUUAUAUAUAUAGGCUUUCAUUAGUGCUUGUUGAAUUAUGGCAGUGAAGUGUUUAGUAGAGUUGAUAUGAAUGAAGUGACUAUCCAGAGAUAUUGCAUCGUAUCGUUUUCUGCUUAUUGGGUUCCAUUGCUUGGAGCAUUUCUGCAGUUUCUGCGUACUUAUUUGCUACAACUUGAAAGAAAUGAGCAUGGCAAGAUUGUAUACAAAUUUGCCUAUGACUUCAAAUUUAGUUCGGCUUGAUCAACAAAAGAGGAAAAUUUCAGUUGAGAUUUUAGCAUUUUGGUUACUGAAUGAGUGACUCUAGGAAGAUGGAUAACGUUCAUGCAUGCUUGCGAAGCUCGUUUGGUAAUAUAUAGCACAAAAAGCAUAGUGAACCCAACUUCGAAACACAUGGAUGCCAUCUAUUUUUCUAACAACAGCCGUGGCAAGCGUGAGCAUACCAAUUCUAAGUUCUAACAUUGGGUUUAGACCACUUUAUCAAAUUUCAAAGCCUUUCUUUAGUGCUUUUUUCCCCUGGAUUUCUUGGUAGAAUUAACUGGUGCCGUAAAAGAGGGCCAUGUUGGGGAUGGCAGGGGACGGAUUAGUGUAAUUUUUUUAUAUUUAUAAUUGAAACAAAUUAGAGGAAUGCAGAUUAGGGGACAGUAGAUUAUGGAAACGGUGGAAGACAUUUCAGCAGGUGGAUUCUUUAAAGGAGGUGAUAGGCAGUGUAUUAUUCUGUGAGUGCUGAUUUUUUGGCAAAGGAAGGUGCAAGGAGAGAAAGUUUUUAUUGGAUAUUGUCAUUACCUUGAGAUUUACAUUGAGCCAGUGGGAUUAAUUAUUAUUAUUAUUUUUUUGUUUUUAAGAAAAAGAACCACUUUUUGUAAACCGUGAACUAAUGGAGGCAAUUGGUUUUAUAUACAUAUUGCUCUUGCAAAACAUUGUAAUUUAGAAAUUUAGAAGUAGAGGUAUACGUUGAUCCCUUCAUUAAUUCGACAACUUCCAUAUAAAACAAAAGCUCAGCAGAUGAAGACGAAGCUAGCAGCUAGCUUGGAGGGAAGUGUGUAAGGCACUAAGCAGCUAGCAGUACAAUUCCUGGCCUCAGUCAUGGUUCACUUUUUGCCUAUGGAGACGCAAUCUCUUUUUAUAAUCAAUUUGUUUUCAUUUGACACUCUGUUUAAGAUGUAGUAGCUCAAUCUCAGCCAUAUACACGAAUAAAAUAAAACGACGGUAUUUACUUGGUUAAUUGGUUGUUAGCCAACUUGAUGGAAAUCUAGUAAUUAAAAGCCAAAGGAAAAUAUCAUCAAAAUCAGGGGCCAAAGCCUUUCGCCUUUUUUAUAGUUGAUGCUCCUUCCAGCUUUUACCACAUUGCUUUUUCCUUUACACUUGGUCUUUGAGGUGAUAGCCUUGGAAUAGUAAUGAGAACCACCCAAAACCAAUUAAAGUAGAUGAUAGAUGAAAGAAAGAAAUGAGAAUACUUGUUAAUUUGCUACUAAGUAGCAGCAGCUAGUCAAAUUCAGAUUUAUGCAUUAACAUAGUUUCACCUUCUUGUUAAAAUUUAUUCUGAUUCUUCUGAUGUAGCUUUAUUUACCCAGCAGCGAGCCUUCAAAAUCAAACAAAGUGGGACAUGAAGAACAAAAAUUAGCUUGGGACAAUCUUCAACCGAAGAAGUCAAAUUUGGAAAUACAAGAUGGUAACAUUAUAUAAUAAUUGAGGGAGCACUAUUUGCUUCUCUUUCUGGGUACUUACUUCUUCAUCUGCAAUUCCAAAUAGUUGCUCUAGUUCAGAAGAUCCUUCGACUGUGAUUAUUUCUAGUUUUGGCAGAGCAACAUUAACCGGAAACAGACUUUUCAUUUUAUUUCAGUAACCAACACAAAAUCGAUUCUUUCAACAACCCCAACCCCCGCAUAAGCCAGAAUUUCAAUUUCAUUACUUUUGGAAAUGAGAAAAACAAGAAACUGAGUGCGUACUGGUAAUAUUCACAGUCAAACGUAUUGCAUAUUUCAUCUGAUGGUAAAGGUUGUUGCAUCAUAUUUGAUAAACAAAGAGGAGAUAUUCGGGAUUUUUUUUUCUUAAUUUUAAUUUGGGCAUUGAAAUUUUAUUAAAGAGUGUUAGGCCUUGAAAAAGGGGAAGAUGUUUUUGGCAUAGAAACUUCAAGGACUUUAUAUUUUUCUUCUUCCAAUUGCCAUUGGUUUGUAAGCAAAGAUGGGAGUAAGGAAUGCAGUUGCCAAAUCUAACAAGUUUGUUUCACAAUUGAGGGGCUAUGUGAUCUGAUGUCUCAGGGUGAAGAUUUGUUACUUUUUCUCCCAGCGUUUUACAAGCAUGGAAAACCAUGGGGAAAUUUGUUGAUGUCUGACUCAGACAUGCAAGUAGACAUUACAAAUCAACUAAACAUUGUAAAAGAGAAGCAAAGAUCAACCAGCUGCAAGUCAACUAAACACAGAGAAAAACCAUGUUGCUCACAGUCCUUUCCCAAGUCAGAGAGGUAUAACUCCUGCAAAGACAUAAAUAUAUCAUAAUUUCAUUAGAAAUUGAAUAGAUUACAAAGGGCCAAGACACUGUUGCCUAAAUAUUGGAAGAGAAAAAUGUCUUGAAUCCCAAAGAAAGAACAUAUAUCACUCUAUGCAUCUAAUUAAUCAUAACUCAAGCAAUUACUUUAAUAUACGAUUGAUUAUAAGUGUACGUUAAUAAACUCAGUUACAAAGAUCAAUUAACAUAUGACCUCAAAAGUACAAAGCUUUCAUAUUAUUUCAAAAAAAUUUAGAUAAGCUCAUAUCUUUUUAUUGUAUUUAAUUAAAUUUUUUAAAUAUUAAUUUUCAAUAUCCAAACCUUUUUUUUUUUGGAUAAAACCCAUAGAUGAUGGUUAAUCCUUUAACAUGCGAUAAUAACUCCGUCACUGCAUGCAAUUGAACUUCCUAAUAAAUUCACAACAAAAUGGAAGAUACUAGAAAAAUUGGAAAGGUAGAUAAUACACCUUAAAUCAGAAUUGAAAUAUUUUUAUAUGUGUAAAAAUUAGAGAUUUGGGCCAAAAGAAAAUUUUGUACCUUUUCUUUAAAGCUUAUUAAAGUAGAAAAAUAAACUAAAGUUUGGAGUAUAAAUAGUGUAUAGUAUAUAUACAGGUAAAUGUCAAUGUAAUAAAAGUUUUCGAUGGGAAAGAUGUUUUCUUAUGAAAUAAACAAUCAACUAAUAAGUAUCAAAAGAAACAUUGGAACAAAUGAAAAUAUAACAAAAUUACCUUCAACUGAGACUGCGACGUAAGUCUUUGUGGAUCUUGGGAAUGAGUCAUUAAUUGGGGUUGGGGACUAAUAUUGCAAGGGUCAAAAUCUUUCGAAGAUGGUAACAUGGCAGAAUAAUUUCUUGGACAAAAGCUCCUCAAGUUUUUCAAGUUUUCAAGUGUUUAAAUCUGUUAUUGAGGGAGCACAAUACGGUGCCCAUCCUUUUCUUUUCCCAUGUUGGAGACAUGCAUUAAUUGAGGGCAAUCAAUUAUCUGAACCGAUUCCAAGUACGGAAGUCCUUGAGCCAAAGUGAUUGGAAACACAUAUUUCAAGCUUUUGCAACUAGCUGUCUGAAGAGAUUUCAAUCUUGGCCAGCAUAGAGAAUAGCAAUCCAUAAUUGAAACUAUUUCAUCCCCAUUUUCUGUUUCUAUGAUUAAAUGCUCUAAAGAGUCGGUUUUCUCUAUAUGGAGUUCUUCCAGAUGCUUCAUAGAUUGAGUAAGGGCAGGCAAAAAGAGAUAUACAAGCUUAGAACAUGACCAAAUUCUCAUAGUCGUUAAGACUUCGGAGAUUAACAAAAUGGGCAGAUCCUCUCCAUAUGCAUCUCAAUUUUGGUAAUGACUCAAGCUCCAAACAAGUUAAAUUUGAUAGUACUUGUGCCUCAUUUUCCUCACAUAAAGAAUAACACAUAAAAGUUGAGAGAUAUAAAGCGUCUUCUUUGCAUCUUUGAUACUUAUGCAGUAUCGCCAGCCCCAACUAGGACACCAAUUGAAAUACUUGUUACGCUCUAUUUCUUCUUCCAAACUCUGAGCUUCUCCCAAUUCUAUCUCUGCCUUUGUUAGCCACUCCUUAACGUCCUUCUUAAUUACCUCAGUUUGCCUUACAGCCUCAUCGACAUCAUCUUGCACCUGAUCUUUUUUCGAUUGAAGUGCUUUUCGCUGCUUCUUGAAAUCUUCAACAAUUUUGGCAAAACAGAAAAAGAAAGUGAGAUAAGGUCAUGCUUAUUCUUUUGCCAGAUUCCCUACAGCAUGUAAAACUGCGGAUGGCAAUUGUAUUCAGCCUGCAACAACAUUGCCCGUAGACUAGAAAACUCAAUAUCACAGAGAAGGAAGGAAAGAUAUGGGAUGAAACAAGAAAGGGAACCAAAAUAAAAAAACAAAAAAGAGAUGAAGGAACCUGACCCUCUCAAAGAAAUAAAAACCACAACAUUGUACACCAGCCAAUGAAAACCCACAACCUUAAAACAUGUCGUAUCAAAGCAACACCUUAAGUGCCCUUGAAGAGUGGACCAGUUUCAAGCCACAGUAGAGCAACCACACCUCACUGCAAAAUACAAUAAAAAUAAAACACAUUAAGCACAACGUAUAUAAUGUCAGAAAAUGAUAAUGGCAGAUGUAGCGAGCAUAGACAAACUAGUCAUUUCAUUUGUUUUUUAUUAACCUUCCAUGCAAUUAAAGUAACAAAGGGUGGUCAAACAGAUUCAGCAUGCUUGCAUUCUUUCUGCUUUUGCUAAGAGCCAGGAAUAAUUAUGAAAAUAUGUAUAAUUCGUAAAAUCAUGUUUACCUGCUGUGGUUGUUGGUAAGCUUAUGGUUGCUGGUAAUUCCCAUAUCCAAGAUAGCCCCCAUAGGACAUGUUAGGAUCUUGGGGAGGAGGUGCAUAUCCAUAUGCUUCAAAUCCUUGAGCAUAUCCAUAAUAUCCACCAUUCCACUAGGCCUGAUCUGGUUGAGCCUGAAACUCCAACAGAUUUCCCUCUUAGUUUGUAGAAAUAUAUAUAGCAAGGUUUUAAUUACAAAAUACCAUGAUUUUAAAUACAAAACCUGAUUGCUUGAAGGACUACAUCCCCAUGAAAGUCAAAUGUUUCUUCCUCCUAAUACGAUGCCAUUCAAAACUGAUAAAGCUUGCUCUGCGUUAGUCCUGAAGUAUAUCAAAUUGCAGAAUAAAUUAAUAUAAUAUAAUAAUAUUUCACGCACUUAAAUAUUCGGAAGAAUUUACAGCUUACCUAUUAGCAUAUUGAACAAAACCACAACGCUUGUUAGCAGGAAUUUUUACAUGAACUACCUCACCCAGCUGGCUAAAUAUUUGUUUUAAUUGGUCUUCAGAAACACUAGGAUCCAAACCACCAACAAAUAUCUGCAUUUAAGCAUGUAAGAUUUCAGUCGACCACACCAUGAAAUAAGCAUAUUAAUAUAUAUAAAAAAGCUACCCACUGUGGUAUUAUUUGGAUCAUUCUCGCCAGGAUUUCCUUGAGUAUUUGGGUAAGAAGCUGCAAAUGACAAAUACAUGUAAACUACAAUAGAAUGAGAUGAUAAAAAAGCUCAUUGCUUCUCAAAACUCAAAUUAAACAUUGUUGAAAAAACCAAGCAUUAAGAUAAUACACUUAAAAAUACUAAAAAAGUUCUAAAAAAUUCCCUCCAUGGCAUGCAAAAGAACAAAAAUGUAAAACCACCAGCUAUACAUCACUCAAAAGUUACAAUUACAACCAUAAACCUCUUUGGGUUACAUCAAGGCUUACCAUUACCAGGGAAAGUGAAAAGUAUCAGACUAAAUGGAUUUCAAUAGUAGCCCAUAAAGAAAUCAUUAAUUACAUUACACUCAGGGAAUCGGUAAAGGUCCUAUUCUUUCAUUAACCUUUUACAAUAGCAUGAAAAGGAGAAAAAGGAAAAUUGAAAUCAGAGACUUAACUUUUCUCUGCACUUGACAUGAAAUAUUUCCUUUUGCUCCUUUCUUUCACACAUUUUUUGUAAGGGGGAGGGGAGGGAGGGAGGAAGCUGUCAGGGCUUAAAUAGAAUGAUUCACAACUUCAACUUCAAAGAUUAUGUUUUAGUAGAAAGAACCUAUCUGCUAAACUAAUUUCAGAAAUGCUUUAACAUUCUCUGCGUAGACAGAAACCUAUAGAGAUUAUAUUAGCAGCCACAAAAUGAUAAGAUGAAGAACAUAUUUAGAAAAUAAGGAAAUUCCUCUAAACUGAAGUGAUGCAAAACCUCAAAUGACAAGUAGAAAAAGAAUGCCUUGAAAAUGCAAUAUUAAUACUGGUAGAUUCAUACACAGCUAGGCCAUCACUAUUUAGGUUUUGGCAAUAAAGCAUGCACGAGUGAUCCACUUCCAUUGAGGUUAAAUCCAUUAACUGAAAAUGCCUUUAACUACAAGUCCCAGGUUUCUUUCCUGACUCAAUUUGUCCUCAUUUGUAACAGAGCAAUAGAAUGAGGACAAAGAAGUUACUAUAACGUUUAAAAGAAGCACAGAUAUAAAAUGCAAUAGAACAAAAAUUGCCCCAAGGCUCAAUAACAGAAUGGUGCAUGAUAACAUCCAUACCAACUUUACCCAUGGCUGCUUCACCUAGUUUUGAGCAUUACAGCUUGAAUUUAAAGGAAACAAAGAGAAGAGUGUAAACAUAUGCAAGUAUCAAAAGGGAACUUAUCUACGACGAACUUAGAAAAAAAAGGUUUCUGGAGUGGUAAAAGUAUCUAAAAAAAGAUUCAAAGGAAACAUGUUGGGAAAACUGAAACAACUUGUACUUGACUGGAAUACUUGAUAAGGAACUAGAAAAGUAAUUUACGAAUGUAGCACAAAUACUGCCACGAGAAAAUGAGGCUUACGAUAUAAACAAAGUAACUGACCUAAAAUGGGGCCACGCAUUAAAGUGGGAUCAUUUCAGCUGAUACCAGUUCCAGGCUCCCCAAAAUGAGAGCCUUUUUGGUGUCCUGCUUUAAGACAACAUGAGUUUUAAAUAAGUUUGUGAACGUUUUAAUAUAAUUAAACGUGCCCAAGUUUGCAAAGGCAAACUGAAAGGAAAUGACUUUGUAUAAAUUCUGCCGAUCUUCAAGUGCAUAACUGAAAGAAUUCAAAUUUUAAGGACACUGUAACAACUAACAAGUAACAACCUCGACUCAGAAAAUUAAAACCCAAAAACAAAAAUAGAAUAACCAACAAGCAUUCAACUUGUCAAGUCAAAGUUCUCUAAGAUAAAUCAUGGCAGAUAAAAACUAUAAAAAAACCAAGCAACCUUCAUGUUAGUUUGCCAAGAUCUAUUGAUGAGCAUGAAAAAUGCUCUGUAGAAAAGAGUAAAACCAGAAAACUAGAAGAAGAGAAAAACUGAUCAGGAAAUUGGAAGAAGAAAAACUAACUUCUCAUCGAGUCAAGAGUCUGUUACACCUAUUUAUACACAAGUCAUGCUGACAUCAAAGAAAGCCAAUCCUAAUUACAAAAUAAUUAAAUAUAUAAUCAGAUAUCUAUUUACACUUGGACACGUGUAUGUAUUUAACACUUCAUAUGAAAAUCAAGAUAAAUAAUGAAUUUAACAUAACCCGUUUGCUUAUUCCUAAUCAGCUUAGCUGAAGCCACCUAAACUAUCCCAAAAAAAUUAAACUUCCUUUAAUUACUUUUUACUGAUUUUAUUACUUAAGUAGUUAAGUUUAAAAGGAAAAGAAAGGAAAUUCAUUUAAAUAACAAAAGGGAAUAAUAUUUUGAUUUAUUAAAAUGUAUAUAAAACUGUGAAUUUUAUUGGACUAUAUUUGCUCCGUUUAAUUAAAUUUUAUUAUAUUUUUUUACUAUUUUACUAUUUACUUAGGCACUCUUAAAUCUUUUUUUUUUCUAAAAGCCCCUAAUUUUUUUUUCUAAAAUAAUAUAAUUAACUAAUUAAUUACCUCUCCAGUGUGAGCGAAGAUGUUGAUGAGGUAAUUCUCAUCCAUCCACUGCUAAAGAUCACCGAUCUAGAAGGAUCGAAUCUCACUGGAGCCGCAACGGCUGAAUCGGUGGAGUACUGCUGCAUCUGACCUAGCGGAGGAACGGGUUGUGGAGCCCAGUCGGAAGGUGGAGGAACCGGCUGACCCGCCUGUUGCUGCUGUUGUUGUUGUUGCAUCAUCAUCCACGGCUGCUAUUGCGGUUGCUGCUGGUACUGCUGGGUUUGAGACUGAUCAGCUGCCAUGGACUGCGGUGGAGCUACACCUCCUGCUGGGGGUUGUUGCAUCAUACUCGAUAGAUAGAUAGAUAGGGAAGAGAAUCGGGAGAUCUCAGAGAGGAGAGGAAACCCAAGUGGGGAAUUGAAAUUUUAUAAAGAGAGGAUUUUGUUUUAUUGACCAGAGGAUGCUUGUCGGGGUAACACGUGGAGAAUAGGAAUUACGUGGCAGUAAUGGGCUUUUGAUAGGGUAAAUCGAGUAUUCGGCUUGGUAUGGGCUAGAUUGGGCUGAGUUUGGGCUAAAAUUCUUUUUCUUUGUUAAUAAAAAACGUUUCUUAAGGAUGUAAUAAAAAAAGUUUUAAAAAAGAAUUUUUAUAGACAAUUGAAAUUUGGUGUUAAUAAGCAUAGCAAAAUUUUUUGAAAAUUAAGUAAUUAAAUGGAAUUGAAAUUUGAAAAUUAUUAAUAUAUUUUUAUGGUAUAAAAAUUAAUUAUUAUUUUAUUUUAUUCCCUUUAUAAAUUUUAUGACUUAUAAUUAUGAUGAUUUAGUAGAUGUCUGAUAAAUUAUUUCUUAAUCUAUUAAAUAGGAAAAUUUUUUUAUCAUUUCCCUUCGUCUCAUUAUCUUUGUUCUUUAUUGAUUUUUUUGUUAAAUAAACUCUGACUUUGAUCAUUAUUUUUAAAAACAUUGUAAAGUUAUAAAAUUUUGAAUUUUAAACAUUUAAAAUUUUUUUUUGAAUUUUUAAUUUUAUAUAGUAGUCGUUUAAUAUGGUAAGAAAAGUACAACAUGGUAAGAAAAGAAAUUAAAUUGAACUUAAUAAUUCUAAGUGCAUGCAGAAAUGGUCCAAUCCCUUUUUAUAAUUUUUAUUGUAAGCAUUACUUGGUAAAAUUUUCUUCUAUCAAUGAGUAAUUACUUCAUUUUAAAUGCUUUUUGCGAACUUGUUGCCUGGACUUUACUACCAUGGCCAGAUCUUAUAGGUUGGAGUACUAAUCAAACUCUCAAUAUUUCAAUAAAUCACUUAAAACCUUCAUAAAAUAAAAAUCUACUUGGCUUGUAUAGGGAAAUUAAAGUUUAAUUUCUGACGCAGGAGCGUCAAUGAUUGUAUUUUAUUAAAUUUAGUUUUUGCUAAUUUAGUUGAUUUAUGAUUUAUUUUCUUUAUUUUAUUUAAAUUAGGAUUCUUUUCUUAUUUUUAUUUUAAUACUUUUAAGAAUUAGUAUUUGAUUAGGAUAGUUAUGUUCUAUUUAGGAAUAGAACACCUAUUUUAUUUAAAUCUCUUAUUAAUUAUUCUAAUUGUAUUAGAUAACUAGGAGUAGAGUUUUAUUAGGAUUUGGGCCUAUAAUACUAUAAAUAGGACCCUUAGGCUUAGUUACGAGACAUUCAGAAUUGAGAGUUAAUAAAUAAUAUUUUCUUAAGCAGGAGUGCUUAUUUCUCUAGACUCUUUUAAAGGGUAAGAGGUUUUAAUAUCUUUGGCCUAGCCAACCAAAGUGGGAUUUUGGCUAUUUUUCACCUUAGUGGGGUUUUCAACCUUGCCAAGAUUGGUGAUUCACCUUAGUGGGGUUUUCAACCUCGCCACGAUUGGUGUUUUUCAUAACGCCUAGGUGUCUUUACAACGCCCCGGCGUCAAUUUCCCAUGUCUUGAUUUAAAAUAUAGAAAUAAGGAUAAGAAAUAGAAGAAUUUUAAGCUUAUUCUUCUACUAAUUGUGGAUGCAGUGAGAAACAUAACAUUGAUUAGGUAAAUUACUGAAAGCAAGUGAUCCCUUUGCUUGACAACUCUGUGAAGCCAACAUCUUGAUCAACCCAAAGCACAAUAAUUUCAACUACCUGUUUUUUUUUUUUUUUUGUUUAUGUAAAUAAUAAAGAUUAGCACAAGUAAACUACUAAAACUUGAUUAGGACUAGGCAAACAAGUGAGAGAAAUGAAAAUGGAAAGUAGCCUUUGAUCUACCUGUGUUUAGUUAAUGGCUCCAACAUACUCAUUGAUGUUUAAACAUGCCUUUGCAACUUCCCCUGCAAUCAUCUCAUAGUUCUUCCUUGUAAGGUGGUAGCUCACAAAGGCUCUUGCUCCGUCGAAUGGUCUUGGCGUCUUGCUUAACUGGUUGCGGUGUCUUUUUUAAACAAUUGAAACAAGGGAAUGUAAAACAAAAGUAUUAAUGUUACAUGUUAUGAGGGUAAAAGAAAAAAUAGACAUAUUAUAAUUUAUAAGCAUUUUAGGCCACAAAUUCAUUAAAAGUAAUGGAAUCAUUCACUAAAAGUGAUAUUCUAGAUCAAUCUUUUGGUUGCAGUGUACUACUCAAUCAUUUAAGUAAUUUUAGUAAAGACUUUGAAAAAUUAUGUAGUAUAAUAUUAUUAAAGACUAUAAUUGCCUUUGCACAUACUAAAUAAAAUCUUAAACUUAAUUCACAAAUCAACAAUAAAAACUCUUAAUCAUCAAUAACGAUUAUGUUGGGAGGAUAAGGAGAAUGAAUAAGGUAUUUUUAGUUUUUGUGAAUAAUAUUCUUGCAAAAGUCCAUGAAGAUGGCUUCAAAGGAUUUGGGAUCAAUUUGGAAAGGUUGUCAAUACAUUGUAGGGAGAAAUAAAAGCAAAUACAGCUAGAGGUAUCCUUUUAUCAUAUUUGGAUAUUUUAAUAAGGAUAGAAGAGCAGUCCAAAAUUUAAAUGGAGUCUGGCUUCUUAACCAAAGGCUAGAGGUCAAUAUAGCCAGCUAAGGAAGCCAUGAUUCAUUUUGAAGAAGGAAGCAAAAAGGAAGCUUCUGAUGCACCUAGUGUUAACCACAUUAGGAACGGAACCUGCAGUGGGAUUUUGAGACAACUUGGUUUUAUUCAUUAAGCCAUCUUAUGCUCUGUUAUUGAAAGGUGCUUUUGAAAGAGGUGGAGCUUCAAAUGAAGAGAGAGGAGAUGAUUUUCAAUGUCUGAAAAGCAUGGAAAACAUGCUUUGGUUGAAGAUAAGUGCUGUGGUAACAACGUAAUGUAAUUCAGAUCUAGCAAAUUUAAUGGAAUUAUUUAAAAUAGAGGGCAUUUCAGGGCUGCUUAUGAGGAGUUUGUCUCUCAAAGAAUUUCUGCUAACCUUUGAGGAUAAGGAGCUGUUGGAAGAGCUCAAGGAUAAAGGUUGGGAUUGGCUUAACAAAUGGUUUGCUAAGGUGGAAACAUAGUUAGAGAAUUUUUCAUCAAAACUCCUUAACAAGUGGGUGACUGCACAGGAUAUCCUUUUGAUGUGUGAAAUAGGCAUAUUAUAAAUUAUAAGCAUUUUAGGCCAAAUUCAUUAAAAGUGAUAUUCUAGACUAAGUUUUGGUUGUAGUGUCAUUCUCAAUCAUUUAAGUAAUUUAAAGACUUUGAAGAUCAUGCCUUAAAAUAGACAAGACUAAAGUUUUCAGGGUGUAUACCUCUGUUUUGGCGUGCACAUAUUCCUUUGUAUCUAUGAAGAAACCUGUAGUCAUCUUGGGACAUCCUUCUACUCUCAAAUCAUCCAAAGCUGAUAAUACAAAGUGAUAUCCCCUUGGGCAGAAGUCAACGAGGCUUGGCAGUUCUUCAAGUGAUAAACUGUAUAGUUGAUCAAACUUUAUCUCCUUUUCAGUUGUUGCUUCUGCUUCAUCUUCAAGUUCAAAUACUUGCUCCAAUUUAGAGUUCCCUUUAACCCAUAACGUAACAAGAUUUGGAAGACAACGAGCAGAUCCAAGAGGAAAGAGUCGUUUCAACUUUUUGCAAUAUAGAACAAAAAUUUUGGUCAAAUUAGGAAAGCUUAUAGGUUGGAGAUCACCAUCUGAUGAUGAACAAACUUGAUCCUCAGCAAUGAUUUGGUCCAAUUCAUCACAAUUUUGUAUUUCUAGAUUGACCAACCGUGAUAAACUUUGAGCAGUUGUAGGUGAAAAUAUGUAUCUUAGCCUCUUACAAUCAAUCACCUUCAAAAUUGUAAGGUUCUCAAGAGUUACAACCUGAGCGACAUCCUUCCAUAUAAUCCACUUUUCAGAUAAAUCCUCCAGGAGGAGUUUCUUUAUACGCCCAUGAACUUGGAAUACUUCUUCAUGACUCCCAACUGCUAUAUAUUCUUGAUUGCAGUUGGCUGAAAUACGCAAUUGAAAGCUAUUCACCAACAUAGAGAGAUAUAAUUCCUGCAAAUACAGACACCACUAAAUGUCACUGAAUAAGUUCCUUUUCUAUUAGAUUGGGAAUAGAUGAGCAAAUAUUACUCAUAAUUUUUUAGAUGCCGAUUCACAAAAAAUCCCUACAUUUUUAAUGAUAGGACAUUUAUAUGUUUCAAAAUUUAAAUCCAAAAUUUUCAUGAAAUGCUCUGAAAGUGGAAUCCAAAAACAUCUACCCUCUUUCAAGUUUUCUCUGUUAAUUUUUAAAAUAAAACCAUUUAUGGUUUUCCUUGUCUUGUGUUUUUUUCUUUGUCAUUUUUUCUUUAAGCAUGUUGUUUUGAAAAGUAUAGAUAAAGUGGUAAAGUGUUAAUUUUUUUUAAUUUACCUAAAUUACAUAAAAAAAACAUAAAAGAAACGAACCCCCCGGAAAGCCUAACUUUCUCAAUCUGUUUCUCUUGUCUGCAACAGAAAGUAGAAACACUUUGAAUAAAAAAAAAGGGAACUCAUGGCCAAGAAGAAAAAGAAAACUUAAAUUGAAGAAGAAAGAGAAAAUUCGAAUCAAAGAAAGCAAGAGAAACUAGAAUCGAAGAAGAAAAAGGAAGCUUGAACAAGAAAAAAAGCAAGAUUUGUCGUCGUGAAGAAAAAAUAUGAUGAACCUCAAUUCAGAAACAAGGACAAGGAAACCCCAAAGAUCCCCACAAACAAAUUAAAAUUUGUUUUUCAAAAUAAAUAGUAUAAAAUUUUUGUGCUGCAAUUUUAAAAUAUAAUUGGAUUAGUUUGUGAGUGUUGAAAAAAAGAUUUAGCUCAAAGGCAAAAUCCAAAACCAUAAUUGAAGGAAAAGUGUAUAAAGAAAUACCUCUAGCUGAAUUUGCUCAUUAACUUCUUUUUGAAUAGUGAAAUUUCUCAAUUUAGGACAGUUGCAAACUUUCAACUUCUCCAAGGAUGGUGAUGAGAUGAGAAAGUUUUCCGAACUCAAAUUUAUCAAGUUUACAAGUUGAAAAUCUUGUAGGCAAGGGAGUCCAAUGGCACGAUGAGUUGGCCUUUUCCAUAUGCUCUUCAAUGUUGGUAAUGACUGUAGCUCCAACCUUCUUAAAUUUGAGAGUGGUACUGCCUGAUUUACCUCACAUAAAAAAAAUAUAAAAUUUAUUAAUUAAUAAAUAAUGAAAAUGAAUUGUUUAUACUUGAUCUUAAUUACUGAGAAGAAAUACAUUUUGUUAAAAAAAAGUAGAAAGAAGUAUUAAAAGUUAAUAAUUUAGAAAGAUUAGAUAGUAAUUAUUUAUAUAUUUGAUAAUUCAAAAAAAAUCAUUAGAAAAACAAUAUACGAGACCAUUAUUAAAGGAAAAAUGAAGAGAUAAGAGGUACCUCUAGCUCAGCCAUCUCUUUGUCAAAAGCAAAGACUUGCUUUAAUUUUUUGCAUUAAGAUAUCUCAAGUGUUUCUAGAUGCAACAGACUUUGAACAAGGUAAGGUGAGAAGAUAGAUUUUAGUUUAUCACAACCAUCAAUUGUUACUUCCUUCAGACUUUGUAGCCUUACAUGAUGAGUUGGCCCUUUCCAUAUGCUCUCCAAUGCUGGUAAUGACUGCAAUUCCAACCUUCUUAAAUUUGAGAGUGGUACUGCCUGUUUUACCUCAUAUAAAGAAAAAUAUAAAAUUUAUUAAUUAAUAAAUAAUGAAAAUGAGUUCUUUAUACUUGAUCUUAAUUACUGAGAAGAAAUACAUUUUGUUAAAAAAAAGUAUUAAAAGUUAAUAAUUUAGAAAGAUUAGAUAGUAAUUAUUUAUAUAUUUGAUAAUUCAAAAAAAUCAUUAGAAAAACAAUAUACGAGAGCAUUAUUAAAAGAAAAAUGGAGAGAUAAGAGGUACCUCUAGCUCAGCCAUUUCUUUGUCAAAAGCAAAGACUUGCUCUAAUUUUUCGCAUUUAGAUAUCUCAAGUGUUUCUAGAUGCAACAGACUUUGAACAAGGUAAGGUGAGAAGAUAGAUUUCAGUUUAUCACAACCAUCAAUUGUUACUUCCUUCAGACUUUGUAGCCUUACAUGAUGAGUUGGCCCUUUCCAUAUGCUCUCCAAUGCUGGUAAUGACUGUAGUUUCAACCUUCUUAAAUUUGAGAGUGGUACUACCUGUUUUACCUCAUAUAAAGAAAAAUAUAAAAUUUAUUAAUUAAUAAAUAAUGAAAAUGAGUUCUUUAUACUUGAUCUUAAUUACUGAGUAGAAAUGCAUUUUGUUAAAAAAAAGUAAAAAGAAGUAUUAAAAGUUAAUAAUUUAGAAAGAUUAGAUAUUAAUUAUUUAUAUAUUUGAUAAUUCAAAAAAAUCAUUAGAAAAACAAUAUACGAGAGCAUUAUUAAAAGAAAAAUGGAGAGAUAAGAGGUACCUCUGGGUCAGCCAUUUCUUUGUCAAAAGCAAAGACUUGCUCUAAUUUUUCGCAUUUAGAUAUCUCGAGUGUUUCUAGAUGCAACAGACUUUGAACAAGGUAAGGUGAGAAGACAGAUUUUAGUUUAUCACAACUAUCAAUUGUUACUUCCUUCAGACUUUGUAACCUUAUAUGAUGAGUUGGCUCUUUCCAUAUAUUCUCUAAUGCUGGCAACGACAUCAACUUCAAACUUCUUAAAUUGGAGAUUGUGCGCGUCAGACUUUCUUCCUUUCCAAAAAGCCAAUUCAUUUGAAACACUGAUUGCAACUGCUUACAAUCGACAAUGCUCAAUGUUUCUAACUUUUCUAAGAAGCUAGUCGGUGAUUGACCAUGGCACAACUCUUUCAAAGAAGUCAUGAAUCUAAUGUGUAAGUUCACCAAAUUAGAGAAUGCAGUGGUUGGACUUUGUUCUCGUGUUGUAUCGAUCAAGCAUUCCAGAUGAGUGCAAAAUGAAAGCUCAAGAGAAGUUAAUUCCUUUAGUCCACGCUGAUCUACAUUUGGGACAAUAUUUUUGUAUUCCAUUGGGACUUGGGACAGAGUAAGAUCUUCAACAUUGCAAAACAGCUCCUUAAAUGCAUUUAAUGAGGAUGAGAAAUGCUUAAUUCUCAAGGUUCUCAAGCGCAGCCCCGCCAAAUCUUGAAUAUAGUCAUUUACAGCUAUAUUGUAGCUUUGUAGUUUAGGGAACACAAAGUUUUCCUGAGAACAUUGAUGAGUAGAAACUUUAAGUGUUAAUGCAGUCAAACCAAACAAAGAAUUCAGCUCCAAUAAGUUAGCAUUGUUUCUACUUGUCACGUGUAGCUCUUGGAGUGAGGCCAACCUGUUACAAAAAAAUACAAAAUGUUAUUAAUGCAAUAAUAGCACUUUCAACCGAAUGAUAAAAAUAGCAAGGUAAUGAAAUGAAUAAGAUAACAUUAACUUUUUUAUUUCUUCAUUCUUAAAGCUACUUUUGUACUACAGGUUGCAAUGUUUCAUAAUAAUAGGAGUGACUAAAAGCUCAUGCUAGAUAUAUAUAUAUGUUUGUGAUAGUCAAAAUCAAAUAAAGUAAAUAAUAAAAAAUAAAUAAUUUAAAAAUUAAAUACUUAAUUGAAAACAAUAAACUAAACAAUUUUACCUUGAUAGCAAGUUAAGGGGGAAAUAGCUUAACGACACUCCACUGUAAGAAAUAUAUAGUGAUUUUAGUUUAUGCAAUCCCACUAUUUCUUUUGGUGGCCCAUAAAUAUUAGUCUUUAGCAAUGCCAAAAUCUCAAGGUUUUCCACAUUCUUCAAUGAUGAGAUGUUCUCAAGCUCGCAAUUUAUAAUGCACAGAGUUCGAAGAUUUGUCAAGAAUUUAAGUGCUUCCAGUGUGAGUACAACAUCUUGGAGAAGUAAAACUCGGAGGGUUGUCAUUCUUUCAAAAAAGGCACACGAAACUCUCAAUGAAUUCUUUCCUUUGAAAAACAAAGUCUUGAGUUUUGAAAAUUCCACUUUGUUAGGAAGAUGAUUGAUCUCAAUGUUCCACAAGGAGAUUGCCGUAUAACAUCCAAACCUUUCACUCAUAUGCCAUUCCGUCAACCCAUCUUUUACCAUGAAUAUAUUUUCCCCUCUCGAUGUUAUCCAAUGAGCAAAAUCACGAAUCACAUCAUGCAUUUUUACAUGGUCUUUAUCAUUAGCUUCCAAUAAUAAACCAGACUUUUGGAGUUUUGAUAGUGCCAGAUGAAUUUCCCUCCUUAAGUCUUCCAUUAAGUAAAUAUUAUUGAACAAUCCCUGACCAAUUCCGCAUAUAAUCAACAAUUCAAUACUAAUCUCAUAAUCUUCUGGAAAAAGGGAACACAACAAGAAACAUUGCUUGAUAUUAUCUUGAUCCAAAUAAUCAUAACUAAGCUUAAGACAUCUAUAGAUAUGUCCACAAACAUGUUCAUUAUCCAAAUGUCUUGAGCUCUUGAGUCUUUUAUUUGCUGCUAUCCACGCAUCUAGACUUUCGCCUUUUAGAGCCUUUGCCACAGUUACAAUUGCAAGAGGCAAACAGCCACAUUCACGAGCAACCUCCUUCGCUACAU
rnacentral:lncRNA from 1 species